UGUAGUUCUCACCCCACUAUUUCCACAGAGCCGGAACCGAGCGAGCCGGCGAGCGACCGCGGUAAAGGUAUCGCACCGUAGUCAGAGGCCACCGGAGUUGGGUUACAUUUUGUUAGUAGUUUACCCCCUUUAUCAUCUUUGUAUUUGAUGAUUAGUGAUGUAAAGAAAAGAAUGUAAUGUUCAUUUUGAGGUAAAUGUGAUGUAAAAGAAAUGAUGAAAGAAUGUAAAGAUUUUGGGAUAGAUACAACGUAUGUGAUCAAAAUGAAUCAUAUUACUUGAGAAUGUUUAGUUUCCUUUUCUUUCACUAAUGGCUAUUGCUUACCCUCGUGUAAGCCGUUUGUGUAUGUUUCCGCUAGUGCACUUCUUAUUGAAAAUGUACAUGUGAUGAGCCUUGGGCGGAUAGGGAAAACUCUGUCCGUUCGGCGUCUGUUUGACGUGCUCGGGUCGGGCCUAGUAGGCAUCAGUCCCGGGGCGUGACAGGUCGAGUCUUGGAUUGACUCGAUGGAAACCCUCUUCGAUGAUUUGCGUACCUUGGAGAGGGACAAGGUGUACCUCGCCACCCAUUGCUUGGAAAAGGCGGCGAAGGUUUGGUAGAAGCGCGUCAAACGGGAUCCGCUUCCCGGCCUUCCGCCAAUGUUAUGGGAGGAAUUCAAGCGGGAGCUGUUCACCAACUAUUUCCCCGAUACCUUGAAGCGAAAGUUCAAGGAGAAGUUCCGCAAGCUAGAGCAAGGGGACCGCUCAGUGGCGCAGUAUGAACAAGAAUUCUCCCAUAUCAUAGACUGUGUCCCGGAUGUUGUAAAGGAUGACUGGGACCGGGCCGAGUGGUUCUUGCGAGGACUUCGGCCGAGAGUUUACAAGGCCGUGCAAAUACUCAAGCUCACGACCUUUGCGGAGGUCUUCGAUCGAGCGCUAUGGGCGGAGCACGGAGAUGCCCACGUUCAGGAGAAACGUGAGCUUUUGGCUGAGUCCAAGGAUAAGGGCAAGAAACGCCAGGGCGCCGGUAGUUCGGGGGGACAAACACGUUACAAGAAACCCCCGAAAUAUCCGCGCACUCAUCAGAAAAGCGGUGGAGCGCGGCGAUGCAUUGUAUGCGGUGGAGACCACCCAGUCUCGCACUGUGAACAAGGCCGAGGCAAGUGCUACAAGUGUGGGCAACCGAGGCACUUCAUUCGGGACUGCCUGGGAGGAGGAGCCUCACCUGCCCCAUCGAUUGCAUUGGUGUCGGCGAUUCCGGCUCACUAUGGAGGAGUUCCAUCGCGUCGACGGGACGCGCGAUGACGCCGCGUCAACCUGAAGUGGCACGAUCGGCCCCGAGCGAACGGGUGUUUGCCGCUCAGGUCCAGGUUGAGGAACCUGCGGAGGCGGAGGAGCAUCGCCUUGUGGCAGGUAUGGUUUUAAUUAACGGAGUUCGCUCCAGGGCUUUAUUUGAUACGGGAGCCACGCAUUCAUUCAUAAGUAGAUCAUUCGCACGCAUGCAUGGCAUACUCAUAGAGGCGAGUGACAAGUGGCGAGUGGAGGGCCCUAGGUCAACGUUUAACACCUACUCGGAGUGUGCGUCGUGUCCUGUGCAAAUAGGCGACUGGAUUAUGCCUAUCCGGACACUGGAACUCACAAAGCUUGAGGCUUAUGACGUCAUUCUGGGCAUGGACUGGCUCUCGAAAUAUCACGCGACGAUUGACUGCAAGAGCAGGGUGAUCACAUUCCAUGAGCCAGGACAAGAGGAGUUCACAUAUCGGGCUUGUCAAAGCUCGUGCUUCCUCGCGACGGUGUCGGCGACGAGAGCGAGGAAGUUGGUCAACAGCGGUUGCACGACAUUCUUAGCGACUGUUGUGGAAGUGGAACGAGUAGCUCCAACAUUAGAGGAGUUGUCCGUGGUGCGGGAAUUCCCGGAUGUGUUUCCUACGGAGUUGCCGGGGAUACCACCGGAUCGGGAGAUCGAGUUCGUCAUAGACUUGGUUCCCGGUACCGCACCGAUCUCGAAGGCUCCGUACCGAAUGGCGCCGGCGGAAUUGAAAGAGUUGAGGAGUCAAUUGCAAGACCUCCUCAACAAGUAAUUUAUCCGGCCAAGUGUAUCACCGUGGGGAGUCCCGGUGUUGUUUGUACGGAAGAAGGAUGGAUCGUUUCGACUCUGCGUGGAUUAUCGAGAGUUGAACAGAGUCACGAUCAAGAACAAGUACCUACUACCCCGAAUCGAUGACUUGUUCGAUCAGUUGCAGGGGUCGUGUGUGUACUCGAAGAUAGAUUUGCAAUCCGGCUAUUACCAGCUGAAGAUCAAGCCGGAGGAUGUGCAGAAGAUCGCGUUUCGCACGCGGUAUGGACAUUACGAAUUCAUGGUCAUGCCAUUUGGACUCACGAAUGCUCCAGCGGCAUUUAUGGAUUUAAUGAAUCGUGUCUUCAGAGAGUAUUUGGAUCGAUUUGUCGUGGUCUUCAUAGACGACAUAUUGGUCUAUUCUCGUAGUGACGAGGAACAUGCCGAGCAUUUGAGAAUAGUGCUUCAAGUCUUUCGGGAGGAGAAGCUAUAUGCUAAACUGAAGAAGUGUGACUUCUGGCUCCGCGAGGUAUCCUUCUUAGGGCAUGUGAUUUCCGCGGGUGGAGUUUCUGUAGACCCGAGGAAAGUUGAGGCAAUCAAGGAUUGGCCGCGCCCGACGAAUGUCACGGAGGUUCGAAACUUCGUGGGCUUAGCAGGCUAUUAUAGGCGGUUUGUGGAAGGCUUUUCCAAGAUAGUGAUUCCGCUUACCCGCCUGACUCAGAAAGGCACCAAGUUUGUUUGGAGCGAAGAGUGCGACCGGAGUUUCAAAGAGUUGAAGCAGAGAUUGACUUCGACCCCGGUGCUCGCUCUACCGGUGCAGGGCGAAGACUUCGUGGUCUACAGUGAUGCCUGCUAUCUUGGAUUGGGGUGUGUAUUGAUGCAAAACAGGAAAGUGAUCGCUUAGCAUCCCGUCAGCUGAAGAGCUAUGAAAAGAACUACCCCAUCCAUGAUUUGGAGUUAGCGGCGGUGAUUUUCGCCUUGAAGCUGUGGAGGCACUACUUAUAUGGUGCCCAUUGUGAGAUCUAUACCGACCACAAGAGCUUGAAGUACCUGUUUACACAGAAGGAGCUCAACAUGCGUCAGCGGCGGUGGUUGGAGCUGUUAAAGGAUUAUGAUGUUGAUAUCCUCUACCACCCCGGGAAGGCAAAUGUGGUCACAGAUGCACUUAGUAGGAAGUCGGCGAAGAACCUCGCUUUUGAUGUUACCCAGCAAACACCCCUAUGGCUGGAUAUGGAGCUAUUGGACCUUAAAGUGGUCGCUCCCGAGGUCCCGACUCAGUUAAUGGCACUCGUUGUCCAACCGACCUUAUUGGAGAGGAUCAAAGAUCUGCAACCCGCAGACCCCGAACUCCAAAAGGUGCGGCGAAACAUCGAGGAAGGGCAUGGCGGUGAUUUCAAGGUAGACGCCGAUGGUACGCUUCGGUUUCAAAACCGAUGGUGAGUGCCGAAGGAUGGAGACCUUUGUGAAUUGAUUCUACAAGAAGCACACCGAUCUCCAUAUGCCGAUCACCCGGGCGGCACCAAGAUGUAUCAAGGACUAAAAAUGCACUAUUGGUGGCCGGGAAUGAAAGGUGAUAUUGGACGCUUUGUGGCGAAGUGCCUAACAUGCCAACAAGUGAAGGCCGAGCGUCGAUUUCCAGCGGGAAAGCUUCAAAGCCUACCAAUCCCUGUUUGGAAGUGGGAGGAUAUAUCGAUGGACUUCGUGGUCAGCUUGCCUCGCUCAAUAGGCGGCCACGAUGCAAUUUGGGUAAUUGUGGACCGAUUGACAAAGUCGGCUCACUUCUUGCCGAUCCACACCACGUGGUCGGGCGACAAGUUAGCGCAGGUAGACCUUGACGAGAUAGUGAGAUUGCAUGGGGUGCCGAAAUCGAUCGUGUCGGAUAGCGACCCCCGGUUCACUUCGCACUUCUGGAAGAGCCUGCAGGAAGCCUUGGCACACGGCUCGACUUUAGCACCGCAUUUCAUUCUCAGACCGAUGGGCAAACAGAGAGAACCAUUCAAACUCUGGAGGACAUGUUGCGAGCGUGUGUCAUCGACUAUAAGGAAAGUUGGUGUGACCACCUACCUAUGGCCGAGUUCGCCUACAACAACAGUUAUCAUACUAGUGUGGAGAUGGCACCGUUCGAGGCUCUCUAUGGGCGAACGUGUCGGUCUCCUAUACACUGGAGCGAUGUGGGUAAACGUACAGAAUUCGGCCCCGAUGUUCUACGAGAAGCGGAGGAGAAAGUCCGUCUUGCUCGCAAGAGGUUGCUCACGGCGUAGUCGAGACAGCAAAGCUAUGCAGAUAGGCGCCGACGAGAUAUAGAGUUUGCGGUGGGCAACCGCGUAUUCUUGAAAGUUUCACCGAUGCGGGGUGUGAAGCGGUUUGGAGUGCGGGGAAAAUUGAGUCCCCGAUACAUUGGACCAUAUGAGAUACUGGAGCGAGUCGGCACGGUGGCCUAUCGACUUGGUUUGCCGCCAAAGCUUGCGGAUGUACACAAUGUGUUCCAUGUCUCCAAUCUCCGCAAGUAUAUUCACGACCCCGAGCAUGCGAUGCUAUAUGAGCCACCGGAACAUCAAGAAGACUUGAGCUAUGAAGAGUUUCCGGUAGGGAUUAUCGCCCGAGAGGUGCGAAAGUUGAGAAAUCGAGAAAUUCCCUAUGUGAAGGUUAGGUGGAGCAAUCACGAGGAUCGCGAAGCCACCUGGGAACUCGAGGAUCUGAUGAGAAAACACCAUCCUCAUCUAUUCGAGGAGUAAGAUAUGGAUUUAAGUUAAAGUUAAUAAUUGAGUUCGUUUUGAGGACGAAACUCCUUUUAAGGAGGGGAGAUGUAAGGAAGUGAAUUCUCGAUAUCCGAGGAUUGUACUUUAUCCAGAAUUGACUAACUGUCGAGUGAAUACCCAUGGUGGGAGUUAAAAAUGUCCAAAACACAAAAAGUGCUUUGGAGUUGAGUCCGCGAGAGCAAAUAGGCGAAAUAUGGACUAAGCAGAUUUUUGCUCUCAGGGACCGGUCGCUGGAAGGGGGAGACCGAUUCCCGUAGCUGAUGGUCGCGGGGGAGGUCGAUGCGACCGGUCCCUGGCUGAGGGGACCGGUCCCCGUGCGCGACACCCGCAAGAGGAAGCCUAAAUUUGGCUAAGUCCUGAAAGUUCCCCGUUCCGGAACCGGUCUCUCAGGAAAGACCGGUCUCCCAGGGACCGGUCCCUCGGGUGAGGACCGGUUCCCGUACCUGAAAAGUCCCCAGACUACAGGGAGGGUUCUCGGGGACCGGUCUCCCCGACUAGGGACCGGUCCCUCUAGGCGAAAACAGCCUAGUGACAGCUGCGUGAGAGAUGAAAAGUUGAGGGGUUUAAGUGCAAAAUGGCCAUCAUGUGAGGGGUGUAUAUGGGAAAUAACCCUCUCCCUCAGCCCCUCUCAUCUCAUUCCCUCUCUAUCUCUCAUUCUCUCUGGCUCUCUCUCUCUCUAGAAAGGAAAGGAGAAUAAGAAGAACAAGAAGGAGAGGAAGGAAAAGAAGAAGAUGAUAAGGAAGGAGAAGAAGAAGGAGAUCAAGAGGAAGGCUUUGGACACCUUCAUCUCCCUCUCCUCUUCUCUUUGGUGUAGCACAAGAGGUAAGCUCUUGAACCCUAGCUUCUAGAAUUUGGGGUUUUGGGUUUUAUGCUUUGGAAUGGGUCAAAUAGACCCUAAGCAUGCUUCUAAGUAGAUCAAUCCCAAUAAUCUAGCGAUUUAUUGGAUGGUUUGCUAUAGGUGCAAACCUAAGGCUCCAAAAUGGGAUUUUUGUGAAAGUAUGAGAUUGAUCUCAUUUGAAGCCUUGGAAACCCUAUUGUUAGGUCACAAAACGUGGGGGCGAAGUCGGUUUUGGCAUUCGGCGAGCCGGCGUGAAGUUCUCGGCAAAAUAGGGCCGGGUUAGCGUUGAUUUGGGCAAGGAAGGCUAAAGCCUUUUCGUAAAGUUCGCCGAGAAGGAUUUCCGAAGCCUCUACAUCGAUUAAAGGUGGGGGGUGCCAUCCCGAAACUUUCGAACUCCUUUCUAUGUCUUAGAUUGCAUUUAACUCAUCUCUUACGUGUUGCAUUAUAGGAUUGCAUAGUAGCUCCCUUCCUUAUGCUAUCUAAAUGAUAACCUAGUGUACUUGGAACGCUUGGUGACUUAGAUAGGUGGGGAUUGGGUCGGAACGUGGAUCCUAUGAUGCGAAAGAAAAGAGAUGUUCCCGAUGGGGGUGUUGAUGACAUAGAAAGUAGUGUUAAUGUUAAAGAACAAACGAGUGGCAUCCAAAUAUUAAAUGAUGACGAGUGGCAUUAAUGUAGUGUAAAUGACACUAGAGGUUUGAGAACCUAGGGAUAGAUGGAUCCCUUAGAAAAUGCCUUGUGGAUAAAGAACUUAGUAAACCUAAGUGUCCUCACGUGGAGAGGUUGUCGAUGAGUCGAUUGAGAUAUUGAUCCUAGUUGUAGGGCAUCCUUACUUGGAGAGGAUUUGAUCGGGUUGUGGACACUAGUGAUAGUGCUUCCUCACUGGGAGAGGAUCCGAUUGGGUUAUUGACUCUAGUUGUAGAGUAUCCUCACUUGGAGAGGACUUGAUUGGGUUGUUGACCCUAGAUGUAGGGCAUCCUCACUUGGAGAGGAUAGAUCUAACUCACAGUUUGCGUUUGGGGUGGUAUAGCCAUCCAAUCGCCACAUGGAGGGGAUUGGCGUCGAGUACUCCGGAGUGUCGCGCGACUAGGACCACUUGGAGGUCCGGACCACAUGGAGGUCCGCAGACGGUCCCGGGCUUGGGUGCACUUGGAGCUCCCUCCCCACUUUGGGAUUGAAAGGUGAGUUAUAGGUGAGCCCUAGGGCCUCGCCAUAGAUUGGGUAAAUGGAAGGUUAAAGGUUUAAUAAUGUCAUUGAACAUUGCUAUUCAAACAUGGAUCGAAUUUGUUAGCAUGGUAGCAAACCUUUAUUAUAUGAUGCAUGCAUUCAUAUUCAUGAUUAUGGGCAUAGUAGCAUAGUUUUCCUACUAUCGCAUUUACAGUUUUAAGAUACAUAUCUAUCUAUCUAUCUGUUGUUACUUGUGCCGACUUGGAUAUAGUGGGGAGAUCGGCAGAGUCGGCGGCCGAGCCCACUGGGAACUAUGGAAAAUAGUUCUCACCCCACUCUAUUUCCAGUGCUAGGUUCAGGGCUGUCGAGAGGGGACCGCGGCAAGGGCAUCGCGCCCGAUCAGUGAGACCUUGAUAGUAUAGUAGCUUUCCUUUUUGCAUUAGUACAUCUAUGUAUUGAGAGAGAUUCAUUGUAGGUGAGGACUUGGAGAGCUAUGUAUUUUGGAUGAAUGAUGUAAUCAUUUAAAGAAAAUGAUAUAAAUGAACUAUUGUAAUAGUUAGUAAUGUACUCUCUUUAUUUCACAUGUCUUAUCUUAUGGAUUACUUGCUCUUUGUAUUGUUGGCACUGUUUGUGCCCUCGUUGAAUGUGUAUGUUUAGAAUUUAAUUUCCUGGGUAAAUUCUUGUGCACAUUCUGGUUGUUGAGCCUUGGGCGGACGGGGAGGUGCUGUCCGUUUGGCAGUCCGCCCCCGCGGCCGAAUCGUGCUAAAUUGGUAGUGGUUUCGGGGCGGGGCGUGACAGUCUGCUCCCGACUUGUGAUGGUCGCUCCACACAAGUAGUGCGCUUCGGAGUUGGUCACGAGGGAUAGCCUAUGUAGGGUCCCGUAGGAUAGGGAUGGCCUAUUUGGGGUCCCGAGGGAUAGCCUAUGUGGGGUCCCUCAGACGGUCUCGGAUUCGUAGUUUGAGUCUAGUCUCCCUACGUGUCGAGAUGGCUAUGUGAGUAGUAGGCGAAUCCUUGAGUAAGCCACAAGAUUAAUGAAAAAGUAAAUAGCUUUACUUUUUGGACAUGUGAUGAACUAAUUGAUUAUCUAUUUCAUUGUGCAUGCAUCUUCAUAUACAUGAUUCGGGCACGGUAGCGUAGCUUUACUAUUUUGUUUCCGCAGCUUUCCAUAUCUAUCUACCUAUCUAUUUUUCUACUUGUGCCCACUUGGACCUAGUGGGGAGACCGGCGGAGUCGGCGGCCGAACCCACUGGGAACUAUGGAAGAUAGUUCUCACCCCACUUUUUACAAGUCUGAGUUCGAGUAUCCCCGGCGAGCGCGAGGAUCGUGGUAAGGGCCCAACGCCCUAGUUGCAUUAGCUACCUUCCUUUUUCAUUAGCCGUCACCCCUGUAUUUGAGAGUAGAUGAUGUAUAGGUGUGAGGUAAUUUUGGAAGAUGUAAAAGCACACUACACUUAUGUUUAUGUUUGAAGGUAAAUCGAUGUAUUAAAGAGGUUAAAUGAAUGUAAUAGAUAGAACUUUCUCUCUUUAUUUACUUGUAUGUUUCAUACUUGUAUCUUGCUCUUGUUGUUAGCACUGGUGGUGCUCCUUGUGAUCGUGUAUGUAUGAAUUGAUUCCUCGGUAAAUUCUUAUACAUGAUCCGUUUGCUUAGCCUUGGGCGGGCAGGGGAGGUCCUGUCCGUUCGGCGUCUGUUCGAUGCGCCCGGAUCGGACCAAAUUGGUAGCGGUCUCGGGGCGUGACAGUUAGCGACUAGCUAGAACUUCCUCAGUGUUGUUGUAGAGGGACCCAUUAGCAUCUUUCUUUUGAUUUUUGUAUGAAAGGUGUACAAUUGUAUUUUGUUUAGAGUUCUCCCAGCAUUCAAGAUGCACCUUUUGUUCAACUUAUUGUAUAUCUUGUGAAUAUGUAAAUGUAUUAGACUUGUUUAUAUAGUGGAUAUAUUCCUACCUGUUUUUGUUGUUGUAGAUGCCUAGUGUGCACUGAGAGUGCUUGGUGUACACGAGAGGUCUGUGCACGCACCGGGAGGACUUCCGCUCGAGCCCGGGCGUGACAGAUUAUACUAGUAUCAAAGCCUGGGGUUGAGUCUUAGUGGACUUAGCAUACCUUAGGCCGGUUGAACGAAGAGGAUCAGGAGCAUGAGAGACGAGGUCUUUUGUUACUUAUUGGCGCAAGCAACAUGAUUGGGUCGAGUCUUUAGCUCCAAAAGUGUUGGAGUUAGAUCGAAGUAAACAACUUCUAUGUCCUUGGAGGGUCACGUUGGCGGCUGACAACGUGACAUCGGGGAAUAGUGGGAGUUCACUUCACUACUUUCGCAUGAUUGAGGUUUUGUGAUUAUCAGUGAGGAUAUGAUGGCAUGGGUUGUUUUAACCCGUACCUGUUAUGUUUGUUACAGCUUGGAUUGCCAACGACGCGCUCCGUAGGGGCUGAGGUGGCCAAGCCGGAAAAGUUUGCAUUCUCCGGAUCCGGUGUGAUCUGGGAGUUAAGUUAGCAGGUAGCUAUUUUAGUUGGCGUGGUGGAGNAGCGACAGUCGUCUGUGGCGUUAUUCCAAGUUGAGGCUUUCGACCGACAGGACGAGAGAAUCAGGCAGCUGGAGGACUUGUUUAUUCAACAGGCAGCCGACCUCAAGAAAUUUCAUGAGACUACAGAUCGCACCUUAUCAGUGGGGAUAAGCAUGGAGACUGUUUGGACGACGAAAGAUGCCACUAGGGGUAGCAAGUUAAGUGUAAGAGGACCAUCAAGGCAUUCAAAAAAUUGAUCUGGAGGACGUGGUUUCUCAUCGGGGAGAAAAACAUCUAAUCGUCGACAACUAUUACAAUGUGUGAUUUGUGGAGGUCCACGCGUGCCUCUACUCAACGUGGAGACAAAUGCUUCUUUUGUGGCCAGUGGGCCAUUUUCGGUCUAAGUGUCCGGAGAAAUUGAUGUCAGUAGCAAUAUCGGUAACGACUUCAUCGCGGAAGGCACCUAGGGAGCGCAUGCCUACAGAUCAGGCGGAGGAUGAUUUACCGACAUAGGAGGUUGUUGCAGGUGUUAUUCUAAGUAAUGAUACUGGAGUUAGAGCAUUAGUUGUUAUGAUUGCAUUACUCAUGUUCCUUGAUCGGCCGUUCGCCGAGUUGCUUAGCAUUGAACUCUUUUCUUGUUGCACAUAGGAACAGUUUGGCCCCGAUCAUACUUUAGAUAAUCGAGAAUACUAUUUUGAUGCUCUGUUAGAAUCGAAGGUCACUGUCGGAAGAAUUUCGAACCGAAAAUGCGUUCAUUCAGCGAAUUUCGCAGAAAAACGCACUGCAAAUCAGUUUUCAAUCUCCGAAAAGGCCUGGGACCUUGGACAACAAGUCCAGAGGUUGCCUGCUGCCCGCACAUGCUGCCAACAGUAGCCAUUUAACGUAUAAUUGCACAAUAACCCUCGCGACUACAUAAAAUCACAUUAUUUCAUGUGAUUUCUGGGGUUUUAUGGCCCGACAGCGCAAACCGAGGAUCUUCCAGUCUGGCCAAUACACCUGCUGACAGGUCUCGAUGUGCCGGAGGCCAUGCUCACACUUCGGAGCACUGCCGGCCAUUGUGGCGAGCGUACGAACGACGCAAAGUUCAGCAAAACAGCAUGCACAGUGCCAAAACUGCAUUUAAUACGAACACUGGGGCUUCGCUGACCCAAAUGGAGGUGAGCACGACGUUCGGCACAGAUCAUAGGUCAUUGUGCUCACUUCCGGGGUUGUCGAGGAGCCUCCGGGUCACCGAAAAAGCGACCGGAAUCCCAAACAGUGCACUGAAUACUAUUAAAAACUUACCGGAGCAUGUUGGAGCCCGAGGGUGGCCGGCGGCGGCCGGACGGCGGGCGGGCAGGCAGGAGACGGGUGUGGCCGGUCAGAGGGGGCCGGGGCACGUGCUUGCCGGCGGCGGGAGCCGGCUAGUGGCGCGGCGGAGAAGAUCGAGCCCGCAUAGCCUCGGCUCGGGUCAAUGACGCAGCGGCGGCCAGGCGGCAGCGGGAGGAGCUUCGGGGCGACGACGGCCGAUCGCUGGAGGCUGAGGGAGGGCAGUGCGGCCGGCAGUGGGUGGCGGCGGUGCACAGAGGCCAAGUUGGCCUCAGCUCAGCCCGUACUGGUUCAGGGUGGUCCAUGGAAGGCCUAGGCGGUGCCGGCGGCGCACGCAGACGGCGGGGGCCGUAGGUGGGUCUCGGCUAGAGGAUGAAGACUCCAAGGGUGUUUGAUGUUCCUUGAGUUCAACGGCAGAGGUUGGAGGCAAGGUGGAGAGAGAGAGGUUGUGAGGGAGGUCGGGAAGGCUAUUCCGGCGGCCGGGGGUGCUCGCCGACAGCCGGGGGUUGGCGCAGCGAGGUGCUGGGAGGUGUUGGAGUUAGCUGGGGCGCAGCUAGGAUAUUGGAUCAGUUAGGGUUAGGGUUUGCAUAAAGAAACCCUAGAUGGCCAUAUAUAAACAAAUUGCACGUUUGCAUGAUAGUCCUCCGACGUUAAUUAUUUAUAACUAAGUCCCUCACAGCGCGAGUGUUUUACGCGUAUGCACCUCCACGUCCGAUCUCGCACAAUUCGGUACAUAAAAUAUAGAGGUUUUCGUGCGAGAUACAAAAAUGCCAAUUUAACCUCUCCUCGAUAAUCACACGAUAUUCGGCAAUCCGUCCAUCGAAUUUUCAAACUGUUCACACCAGUGUGAUCGGCACGACAGAGACAUCCAAUCCACGAUUUUGUUUUGCCUGUUUUGGUCACAGAUUUGCAACGAAACCCAUUCUCUCUCCAAAUACCAAAAACCACACACAUAUAUAUAUGUAAAUACAAUAAACCUCCUUUUUCUCAAAAACCAUGCGUCAGAUCUAAAAUUCGUCAGCGCCAUUGGGUUUAGGACAGUUGAACCAUUGAAAACGAGCUAUUGGAUCACUAUGAACAGAGUCUGAUACGCACCAGAAGCCAUCUCCACUGAUCGGCCUCUCCGAAAAACCGAAGUUACUAUUCACUUUAAGUGAUUAGUAAUGAUCGCGUAACUUCUCCAUCCUAACUCGUUUUCUCCUGAAACUUGACGAGUCCUUAUGUAAUUAAAUUACACACAAAAACAUUGUCAACAAGGAGUUUAGCUACACAGCCAAAAUCUCAGUCUUUAUAGUAGGUGUGAGAGAAGUUUCUCGGAAUUGAGGGCAUGGUUGACAACCGCCCCAGUUUUAACCUUUCCUACAUCGGGAGCAGAUUAUAUAGUAUAUAGUGAUACUUUGAUCUGCCUUGGAUUGCGUCUUUACCGAAAUCGAAAGAUUUUGAUCAUGCCUUUCAUUGGUUGAGGUAUUAUAAAAAGAACUACCCAUCGUAAUCCUUGCCUUAAAGCUAUGGCGACCCUACUUGUGUGGUGAGCGGUGUGAAGUAUACACUAACUAUAAAGUUUAAGAUACCUCCUCACUCAAAGGAUUAAGUUGGAGACAGCAAAAAGAAUUAGAUCUACUCAUGGAUUAUGACUACCAUCUGGGAUAAACCAAGGUGGCGAAGGACACCUUAAGUUGUAAAACGGUAGAGAACUUGGUGACGAUGAUUAUUGUUCAACUAGUUCUACUUGAGGAAACAGAUUGAAUGGAAUUAGAGGUUGUUGCACCGGAGACAUCAAUGAGGUUGACGGCAUGGAUAAUGCAACCUCUUCUUUUGGAUCGAAACUAAGAAAAUGUUCCUAGUGAAACUCAUUGAGCCCUUAUGCUAUACCUCUAGGUGGCAUUAAAAGUAUGAAGACUUGAUGUUGCCAUACUAGUAGCUGGAAUAAAUAAGAUACUGGAGAAUUGUGAUACGAUGCCAGAUGCCACGACAAGUGAAGACCAAGCAUCAACUUCCUGUGAGUAAGUUGGGAAAGCUGUCCAUUCCCAUUCGGAGAUGGGAAGGAAUCACCAUGGAUUUUAGUAUUAGAUUGUCUUGCUCUCAAGCUAGACAUGAUGUUAUUUGGGUAAUUGUGAAUAAGUUGGCUAAGUCAGCGCAUUUCACUUAUAUUCACACUACUUGAUCAUGGGAAAGACUCGCAGAAGUAUAUCUUGAUGAAAUUAUGCGACUUCAUGAAGUGUUUAGCUCUUUUGUUUUGGAGGAGUCUCCACGGAACACUUGGUAUGUGAUUAGAUUUUUGGCACCACCUUUCACCUUCAAAGUGACGGCCACUCAAAGCACACCAUUUGAAUUUUGGAAGAUGUGUGCUUCGGGUGUAUGUCUUGGAUUUUCAAGAUGGAUGACACCGUUUGAAGCCUCCUUGGAAAGGAAAUGUAGACCACCCCUUCGUAGGAGCGAUGUGGAUAAAAGGUUAAUUCUAGAUCCUGACGUACUUGGAAAAGCCAGAAGUUGAGUUUAACCAGCUCGGGAGCAAUUGAUUUCCACGCGAAAUCGACAGAAAAGUUAUGCGGAUAAGCGAUGGCGAGAAGUGGAACUUCAAGCAUGAGGAUCUAAGCUUCAAGGAGCAAUCGUUGAGGAUUUUGGCUUGUGAUGUGUAGUGUACCGAAUUUUUAAUAUAGAAAUAAGUGUAAAUAAAAAUAGUGUUAUGAGAUGGGCUAAGGUGCAAUUGUGCAAAUGAGAGGGGCUAAGGUGUAAUGGUGCAAGUAAUUGAGUUUACUUGUUGGGCAAGUUUCCNCGCAUAGUUGCAUUAUUGCAUGAUUUGCAUAUAGCAUUGCAUUAUUACGUUUGUGAGGCAAUGCAUGGUUUUAUUCGUUGCAUAAUCAAGAUAUAUAUAUAUCUAUCUAUUUAUUAAACUAACCUGCAGUUGCCUUUUUUGAACCUGUUGGUCGAGCAUUUCCCUUGGGUGGCCGUGCCCACUGGGAACCAUGGAGUUGGUUCUCACCCCACGUAGUUUUGGGGUGUUUACAGGUUCGCACGUGAGCGGCGCGGCGGCGCGAGGAAAGGGCGUAGCUCCGUAGAUAGCGCCCUACCCCAGAGACUAGAGCUAGCAGUACUCCGUCGACAUAGCUUAGGGGUUAAAGAAAUGAAAAGAACAUGUGUUUAUGUUGUUUGAUACCUUCCAUUAUGCAAUCUUAAUUGAAAUGUGUUCCUGGUUGGAACUUCACACAUUGUAUUGAUUGCUAUGCCUUGAACGUACAGGGGAGACUCUGUCCGCAGUACAGGGGAAACCCUGUCCGUUCGGCGAUCUGUUACGGCGCCGCGACCCGGCCAAAUAGGCGGGCGGUCGCGGGGCGUGACAGUUGGCGUGACCCGAACCCGACCAAAUUGGCGGGGAUUGGGGCGUGACAACUACUCAGAUUGCUUACAAUCCUAUCGAGUACACCAACAACUCAAGGCCAUUUGUGUAAUAUACGGAAGAUUUCGGGUUGCGAUGCUAACUUUGAUCUAGAAGAUUAAAGUGAAGUUUGAAUUAGAUGUGCAUCAUUCCAGAGUGUUUCUGGACGUGUGGGAAUGAUCUCUGGAGGUAAUUGAGUGUUCGGGCACCAAUCGGGCGCGAAAUGAACUUGAAAGGGGAUUUUCGGAUUAUGACGCUAACUUUGACCUACGCGAUCAAAGUGAGCUAUGAAUGUUAAUUGUAGCACCUCCGAAUUAUUUUGGAAAUGCGAGAAUAGUUAAUAGCAGUCGGAUUUUUGAUUUCGUGGCAAAUCGUGAUCAAAUUGAUCGAAAUAAUGCCAAAACGAAAAUUAAUUGCUUCCAAAUUAAAUUGGCGCUUGGAGAGGUUAUUUGACAUAAUUUGGAAGUGAUUAGAAGUAUUCGAAGUGAACUAGACGCGCAAAAAGGCUUCAAAUUGUUGCUGCCAGUUUGUUGUUAGUGCAGGGACUGAAUUGUAAAGCGCAGGGACCAAAUUGUAAACAGCAAGGCUGCAAUGCACUUUUUGGUUUUUAAGGGAUUAAGUUGCAGUUUUUCAGCCUUAUCCCCUUAAACCUGGUUCCCUGCAUAUGUCCACGUAUCCAGCUCUCUCUCUCUCUCUCUUCUUUCUUUUCGUUUCUUUCCUCCUCUUUCUCUCUCUAGGCUGGUGGAGGUUUGGUUGAAGAAGAAAUUGGCAGCUUGCGUUUUGGGCUUGGUGGAGCUGCCGAAUUGGAAACGCUGCUAUGAAAGCUUCGAAACCUGAGGUAAGGUGCUGUUCCUAGCCAGGAUUUGGUCUAGCUACUCUAUGAGAAGGCUCUAAGAGGUUAAAAGUUGUAUUAGUAGGUGUGAAAUCUAGGAAUUAUGCUGCAGAUAACAUGUUAUGAGUAUGUAAGUGUAAGUUGGUAUUAAAAAAACUGAAAUUGAUGUGUAGGGAAGUUAAUUCCUGGUUUGGAGGGGUUUGUGCAAGUACCUUCUAAGGAUUGCAAUCACAGAUUUUAAGUAUUAGGAUUCCUAAUACCAUAGAAAAGCUUAGGGGAAGUUGUGGCAGCAUGUAUAUAUAUAUGUCUAUAUAUAUAUAUAUACUUACGAAUGGUAUGUAAGUGACCUAUUGAUUCAAAAUGGAAACCAGGGAUAGGGCAGUCCUAAUUCCUGUUUAGUAUUAUUGUAUUCAUUCAACCUAGGGAAGGAUUUGAAUCACUAAUUUGGAUUGUUAAAGCUCUCAAGUGCCAUGAGAAUCUACAAACCAUGCUAAGUUGAUAGCAUGUGAAACUUAAGUGCUAAUUCUAUGAUGAGUUAGAGUAAUUAUUUAUCAAAAGGAAGCUUGAAUUAGAGGUCAUGAAUAUUGUGUAAUCACCUUCUAAAGAGACCUAAAUUGCAAGUUUAAGUAUUAGGGCUCUUAAUACCAUGAAAAGGCUUAAGGGAAUUGGUGCUGGCAGCUUAUAUGUAUAUGCAUGUAUCUAUCUAUAUGUUUAUGAAUAGUAUGUAUAUAAGCUGUAACUAAUAGUGAAAUCAGGGAUGAAUUGAUUCAAUUCCCUGGUUUAAAUGAUGUUCCCUGCUGUGUUAAGGAGUUGAUAAAGGAUUGCUAUGAGCUGAAUUACUUACCUUAGAAAUGAUGUUUAUAUGGACUUAUUGUAGCCAUAAGUAGCAGCCUGGAUGCUUCCAGACUUGUAGAGGUGGCCGAACAGCAACCUGAUGCUAUUGGUGCUGAGGAAAAAUUAGUUGGAGUUGUAGGGAAGGUGGCAAAGCUGAGAGUAAUCCAAGAGGACAGCAAUGUAAGCUAAGUUAAUAACUUAGUGUGACUAACUUAAUUGCUCAGAAUUAAUCCAUAAAAGGAUUCAUUAUUGCUGAAAAUUGAGAGUUGAAAUUGAUGUUGUUGGGGCUGCCAAAUCGAAGGAUUCAGCUGAAAGAGAGUUGGGCCUAUUGGAGCUGUUGAUUCAGGAGGCCAGCUAAAACGAAACUCUAGAAAGUUAAGAGCAACCUAGAGAAGCCGAGGUGCUGAAAUUUCUGCAUUGCGCAGAAUUUCAGCAUAGAUUACUUGCUAUUGGAGUUGGAAAAGAGAACUUAGUGAAGCUUCAAAUUGGGUAAGUGAAUAGUUCUUCUCUGAGUUGAGUGAUAGGAGUUACUCUAAAGAGGUUAUAAGUACUUGAAUUAGUUAAUUGGAAUUGGUAUAGGGGCUGCGAAGAGGAAGUAAAGUGCAGAAAAUUCAGCAUGGUGCUGAAAUUUCAGCAUAAGUGCAGAAAUUUCAGCAUUAGAAAUUCCUGCUGUGGAGCUGAGAACGAACUAAUUGAGCAGCGAACUACGGUAAAUAUGAUUGUAUCAUGAUUAGGAAUCAGUUAAUUGUAAUAGAGGGAUGUUAAUUAAGAGUUCUAUGGGUAUUUGAGUUAAUGAAAACUCAAACCUGCAUUGAGGAGUUACUAGUUUGAACCUUAUAAAACUAGCUUACACUCUAUACAUGUACAUACUAGGAAUGAUCAGUAAAGAGAAAAUUGGGAUUAAAUUAGCUUUAAAUUUUGAGCUAAUGGAAAGGCAAAACUGCAUUGCUAAAUUCCUAAUUAAACUCUAUAAAGUUAGCUCACACUAUACAUAGCAUGUAUGUAUAUACAUAUGGAUGUCUAUGGAUAUAAUGUCAAAAUGGAAGACUGAAUUAAGUAGUUUAAAUUCUGAAUUAGAGUAAGAAUAAUGGCUGUAGAGAAAUGGAUUUGGGAGGCUAUUAAGGUCUCUACAUAAUAUGAAAUGUAUAGAACUAACUAUAGGUAUGUACAUAGUGAUACUAUACAUACUAGUUGGGGUUAAAUGCAAAGUUUGUAAAGAUACACAUGUGACUCAAGUUUAACCUCUUUUAUUCCUUUAGGAAGGAAGGGUAAGCGUGCUCGGAAGUUCGAAUUGACAUUUCGACGGACCUACGACGCGGUAAUUAAGAAACGCUUCGUUCUAGCUUUACUUGCAUCGAGUCGCGUGGACUAAUGUUUGUACGGUUCGUGACGUUGGUUCUAGUCUUCGACAUCCCUACAGGUGGGUGGUGCUAUCCGAAGUCUUUGAAUCACCUUUUAUGUCUAUGUUAUUCAUUGAGCAUAUUUACUUCUGUUUUUCAUGCAUUAUAGGGUAUGGGCAUUGGUAUUAUGCAAGUGAUAGUGAAUGUGUGAAUUCUUAUUGAUAGUGAGAACAUAUGAACAUAGAAUGUGGACAUAGAAACCUAUGAAUGCAUGGACUAUAACAAUAGUGAACUUGGUGACAUAUGACUAGAGAUUUGGUUAGCAUCGACAUUGGAAUUAUAAAACUAGCAUAAAGAGCUAGUUAGAGUAAAGUGUGACAGUGUUUGUCAGUUAAAUCCUCUAAAGGGGGAUCAGAUCAUACUCACAUUUGUUUGGUUCAAGUGAGGUCGCUCCUCCUUGAACGAUGAGCUCCGGAGUAGUCAUCUUUACUGGACCAGGAGGUUGCGUCUCCCCCAGUUGACAGUCCCGUCGGGUGCAGGUUGCGUCUCCCCGAUAUUUGGGAUAGUGUCAGUGAGUUAAUGUUAACCAGAGGGUUAACCAAAAGAUUGGGUAAAGAUAAUGAAAAGCAUGCAUGCAUAUUUACAGUUUUCAUAUACAUCGUUUCUUUCAGCUUGUACAGGCAUUGUAGUAGUUACAUAUUAUAGUCGGUUACUAUCNAAAACCGAGUGAUGAGAAUAGGCUUCCUUGCAGGACUUUCGCCUGAUUUGAGUUGGGUUGACGAUAGUUGUUUCGUGUUUGAUCUUGAAGGUCAAGAAUUGGUCACGUUGUUACGCGUUUAGUGGUUUAGUGUAGUUGAUCUCUAAUAAGAUCGAUAUGAUUCGGGAUGAGUGGAAUCCUUGAAUUGACCGGGCUUGAAGGAAACUUGAAGCUUUGGGAUCAGUUAGUCACACCGUGGUGGCGUCGUGGUGUUGUAUAGUCAUAGUUCAAUGUCAGCGAUAGGCUAUAGUGUAUUUGGUGGAUUGAGUCAAUGGACUCUAGAAGGCUGUGAAGUAGUUGGAUAAUCCUUGUGGCCUUCAGGAAAGUUUAGUCCAUCUGUUUUGGAUAAAGGAAUGUUCGCGGGUCAAGAAUCUGUCGUUUGGCUUCAGAAAAAUUUUUCCCUGGAAGGAUUUGUGUAUUGAGGACAGGAUAUAGAGUUUGUUGUUGGAAUAAACGACAGGUGACCUUUUAGAUAAGUUGAGAAACUAUAGCAGAGUGACUGCUUAGUGAAAGAGUAUGUAGAGAGAUUUUUCUGCACGCUGAAGUGUGUUGAGCAUACGUUGUGAGAUAUUGGAGACAAGGCCGAUUACGAGGUGUGGAAGCUUCGAUAGAGGAUGUGUCAAAGUUAUACGCAGUCCUAAUCUAUGAACUUCUGAUGAAGUAUUGAACUGAAUCGUAUGGCUGAGGUCAGGUGAUAUUCGCGCGGAAGGAGCACGAAUGGAUUAGUAAAGAAUGGGGGAUGAACGAUUGAUGUAUGGUUCGGGUGGUCCAUCGAGUGUUAAGCGACACCGGAAGAGAGUUACAGUCUUCAUCCUAGAAUUCGAAAAGGUCUGUCGACUAACUUUUUUUUCAAGAGGAGUGGUUGUGGUAAUCUUCACCGGCAAGGCCGCGUGUAUUAUCGGAUAAGUGAAAUGGUAGUAAAAUGACUUCAGUAGGAAGAUUGUAUACUUGGGAAUGAUGUGAACUCCGAAUAGUAUUUACAAGAGUGUGAUAGAGCCUUGGAUUUAACACUAGCACGCAAGGAUGAAGAAAAAUGUAUCGUCUAUUGUAGAAUAGACGGUUGGAUAAUGCUAGUGGGUAAUUAUAGUAAGCCAAUAUUGGGGCUUGAGAUAAAGAUGGGAAUGGUGAACCUAAAUAGUAACUAUAGUGAGCCACUGUUGGGGCUUGGGAUAAAGAAUGAAUGAUGAACUUGUUUUUUAAAGCAUUCGGAUUGUAAUGAGAAUUAAAUUGAAACGUUAGAAGACGCUUCUAGAGUUCGAAAAUUCGGAUGAUAUUCCAAGAGACUGUGUAAUGGUAAUAGCGUCAUUGUGGUAGAACGGUUAGAUGAUCACCUGGUUUUGGCGAGUUAGUUGAGUUGUACCUCAAAUAAGUUGAGGGAAUUUGUGUUUACAUAUAUGAGGCAUAGGCCGAGUUGCCUAGUGGGUGAUAUCUAAUGAGAGAUGAGAUAGUGUAGGACACUUGAGUUUAGUUGUCCGUAGAGUGUGGAUUGUGGCUCAGCCAAGAGAGUGUGUUGGCAGUAGCACGUGAGCGUUGCUAGGUGUGAAGCGUGCCAUGGAUCACUCGCGGGGCUAGUAGCUCGCACUAAGUACUUAGGAGCCGAUAGUAAUGUGGAUUGCUCGAUAGAACAUGUCGUGUGUGACGACCGUUGAGGAUAUAGCUUGAGGACGAUCCGUGCCUGGACCAUGUGUGGACCUUGGAGCCUGAGGCUAUUCGAGUAAGCAUAGUCGGCUGUGUGCGACAGCGGCCCGAUACCUAUUGGUGGGCAGAGAUUUGGUCAGGACGGUAGUCCGAGCUUAGACUGGUAACGUGGCAUACCACGUAUUGGACCGUGUGAUUAGUGGUACACCGAGAGUGUGAAUUUGACCCAACCCUAAAAUUCGAAAUGGUUUGGGAUUUGGAUUACUCCUGAUUGGAGUAAAUGUGCGAGGUUUCAAAUGAGGACUUUGCCUCGUGAUGAUUGGGUCUGCGCUUGCGAGCGAGACACGUUAAGUGAUAUCGUAAUCAAGUUAGGCGGUAGGCCUAGAUUGGAUUAGGGGUUAUGGACCAGUUUGUGGUAAUCGAGAUAAAUGGUCGAGCCGAUUAUUCUCGAAAUACGAGGGUUAGUGUAGUGUUGUGAAUCGGGGGUAGUGACCUUGGGAGCAAAGGCUCGGUCCUACUGUUUGCCUGUUUUGAAUCGCCGAGUUAGGCGCUGAUGAGGAGUUAAGAUUAGAGGCACGAACAAAAGUGUUCAUGGAGACUCGUUGCGAGAGAUUGGUAUAAUGCGAACGUGGCCGGAAAAGUAAAAGAUUUUCUUUGAGAUCAUUGUGUAGUGGAAGCCACGUGAGAUUUUGGAGGAUUAUGCCUUCAAAUCAUUNNNNNNNNNNNNNNNNNNNNNNNNNNNNNNNNNNNNNNNNNNNNNNNNNNNNNNNNNNNNNNNNNNNNNNNNNNNNNNNNNNNNNNNNNNNNNNNNNNNNNNNNNNNNNNNNNNNNNNNNNNNNNNNNNNNNNNNNNNNNNNNNNNNNNNNNNNNNNNNNNNNNNNNNNNNNNNNNNNNNNNNNNNNNNNNNNNNNNNNNNNNNNNNNNNNNNNNNNNNNNNNNNNNNNNNNNNNNNNNNNNNNNNNNNNNNNNNNNNNNNNNNNNNNNNNNNNNNNNNNNNNNNNNNNNNNNNNNNNNNNNNNNNNNNNNNNNNNNNNNNNNNNNNNNNNNNNNNNNNNNNNNNNNNNNNNNNNNNNNNNNNNNNNNNNNNNNNNNNNNNNNNNNNNNNNNNNNNNNNNNNNNNNNNNNNNNNNNNNNNNNNNNNNNNNNNNNNNNNNNNNNNNNNNNNNNNNNNNNNNNNNNNNNNNNNNNNNNNNNNNNNNNNNNNNNNNNNNNNNNNNNNNNNNNNNNNNNNNNNNNNNNNNNNNNNNNNNNNNNNNNNNNNNNNNNNNNNNNNNNNNNNNNNNNNNNNNNNNNNNNNNNNNNNNNNNNNNNNNNNNNNNNNNNNNNNNNNNNNNNNNNNNNNNNNNNNNNNNNNNNNNNNNNNNNNNNNNNNNNNNNNNNNNNNNNNNNNNNNNNNNNNNNNNNNNNNNNNNNNNNNNNNNNNNNNNNNNNNNNNNNNNNNNNNNNNNNNNNNNNNNNNNNNNNNNNNNNNNNNNNNNNNNNNNNNNNNNNNNNNNNNNNNNNNNNNNNNNNNNNNNNNNNNNNNNNNNNNNNNNNNNNNNNNNNNNNNNNNNNNNNNNNNNNNNNNNNNNNNNNNNNNNNNNNNNNNNNNNNNNNNNNNNNNNNNNNNNNNNNNNNNNNNNNNNNNNNNNNNNNNNNNNNNNNNNNNNNNNNNNNNNNNNNNNNNNNNNNNNNNNNNNNNNNNNNNNNNNNNNNNNNNNNNNNNNNNNNNNNNNNNNNNNNNNNNNNNNNNNNNNNNNNNNNNNNNNNNNNNNNNNNNNNNNNNNNNNNNNNNNNNNNNNNNNNNNNNNNNNNNNNNNNNNNNNNNNNNNNNNNNNNNNNNNNNNNNNNNNNNNNNNNNNNNNNNNNNNNNNNNNNNNNNNNNNNNNNNNNNNNNNNNNNNNNNNNNNNNNNNNNNNNNNNNNNNNNNNNNNNNNNNNNNNNNNNNNNNNNNNNNNNNNNNNNNNNNNNNNNNNNNNNNNNNNNNNNNNNNNNNNNNNNNNNNNNNNNNNNNNNNNNNNNNNNNNNNNNNNNNNNNNNNNNNNNNNNNNNNNNNNNNNNNNNNNNNNNNNNNNNNNNNNNNNNNNNNNNNNNNNNNNNNNNNNNNNNNNNNNNNNNNNNNNNNNNNNNNNNNNNNNNNNNNNNNNNNNNNNNNNNNNNNNNNNNNNNNNNNNNNNNNNNNNNNNNNNNNNNNNNNNNNNNNNNNNNNNNNNNNNNNNNNNNNNNNNNNNNNNNNNNNNNNNNNNNNNNNNNNNNNNNNNNNNNNNNNNNNNNNNNNNNNNNNNNNNNNNNNNNNNNNNNNNNNNNNNNNNNNNNNNNNNNNNNNNNNNNNNNNNNNNNNNNNNNNNNNNNNNNNNNNNNNNNNNNNNNNNNNNNNNNNNNNNNNNNNNNNNNNNNNNNNNNNNNNNNNNNNNNNNNNNNNNNNNNNNNNNNNNNNNNNNNNNNNNNNNNNNNNNNNNNNNNNNNNNNNNNNNNNNNNNNNNNNNNNNNNNNNNNNNNNNNNNNNNNNNNNNNNNNNNNNNNNNNNNNNNNNNNNNNNNNNNNNNNNNNNNNNNNNNNNNNNNNNNNNNNNNNNNNNNNNNNNNNNNNNNNNNNNNNNNNNNNNNNNNNNNNNNNNNNNNNNNNNNNNNNNNNNNNNNNNNNNNNNNNNNNNNNNNNNNNNNNNNNNNNNNNNNNNNNNNNNNNNNNNNNNNNNNNNNNNNNNNNNNNNNNNNNNNNNNNNNNNNNNNNNNNNNNNNNNNNNNNNNNNNNNNNNNNNNNNNNNNNNNNNNNNNNNNNNNNNNNNNNNNNNNNNNNNNNNNNNNNNNNNNNNNNNNNNNNNNNNNNNNNNNNNNNNNNNNNNNNNNNNNNNNNNNNNNNNNNNNNNNNNNNNNNNNNNNNNNNNNNNNNNNNNNNNNNNNNNNNNNNNNNNNNNNNNNNNNNNNNNNNNNNNNNNNNNNNNNNNNNNNNNNNNNNNNNNNNNNNNNNNNNNNNNNNNNNNNNNNNNNNNNNNNNNNNNNNNNNNNNNNNNNNNNNNNNNNNNNNNNNNNNNNNNNNNNNNNNNNNNNNNNNNNNNNNNNNNNNNNNNNNNNNNNNNNNNNNNNNNNNNNNNNNNNNNNNNNNNNNNNNNNNNNNNGCCGUACCCACUGGGAACCAUGGAGUUGGUUCUCACCCCACGUUGUUUUGGGGUGUUACAGGUAUACACGUGAGCGGCGCGGCGGCGCGAGGCGAGGGCGUAGCUCCGUAGUUAGCGCCCUACCACCGAGACCGGAGAUAGCGGUACCCUGAGUCGGCCUUUACUUAGGGAUGUAAGGAAAUGAAAGGAAUCAAGUUGUAAUAAUUUGUAAUAAAAGCAUGAUUGUAUUUGGAAGUUAAAUGUAUUAUGUAAUUGAGAUGUAAAAUGUAUCUAUAUAAUGUGAAUGCUUGUAAUAGCAAGUAGAUUAUGUUUUUGAUACUUCCUUAUGCAAUCUUUGAUUGAAAUGUGUUCCUGGUUGGAACUUUGUACAUUGUAUUGAUUGCGACGCCUUGAAUGUACAGGGGAGACUCUGUCCGCGGUACCGGAAAAACCCUGUCCAUUCGGCGGUCUGUCGGCGUGCCCGAAACCGGCCAAAUAGGCGGGCUCGGGGCGUGACACGAACCCACUGGGAACUUUGUUUAGUUCUCAAACCCUGUUUUGCAGAGCCUAAUACGAGCGCGUGCGUCGAGGAUCACGGCAAGGGUAUCGCGCCCUAGAUAGAGUGGACCAUCGGCAUUAGCUCACUACCAUCGAGUAUAAAAGGAAAGAAUGAAUGUAAAAACCUUUUUGGAAAGAGAAUGUGAUAUAUAUGUUAGAUGUUAGUUUGUAUGUUAAAUGAGAGGUUUUGUAAUAAGCUAAAGAAUGUAAGUUGUUAAACACACUAUGUGGAAAUGUUCUAGUAAGUAGCUUACUUUCUCUCGUAUCUUGAUAUGCCUCUCGCAAAUGUUGAAUGCUAAUAUCUCUUGUUUAGAUAUGUAUGCAUAGACUUUGUUACGCUUCGGGCGGGCAGGGGAAACUCUGUCUGUUCUGCAGGUCUGUUUCGGACCCGAACUGUCCAAAUUGGCGGUGACGGGACGUGACAGAUUGAGGUGGUAUCAGAGCGGAGAGCGGUCUAGGAAGACCUAGGAAACCUUAGGACUUGUGGCCUUAAGGAUUUAGAGACGUGAGAGACGAUGACUCUUGGGUUGUGGCGAAAGUGAAAUGAUUGGGUCAAGUUGUGAAAUAUGUCUCUAAUGAGCUUUAGAGACGGAUUCAAGGUGUGAUUUAAUCUUAGCUUGAGGUGGUCAUGUUGGCGGCCGACAACAUGAUGCCGAGAGAUGAGAUUAAGUACCCUUGUUUAACUUUCGCCUAAUUGGGUUGUCUCGUUGGUGUUACUAACUUAUGUUAGUUAUAAAUUCGUGGAGUGUAACCGGGGGUGCUGUUUCCUUUCAGGACGUGAUGAGACGUGGAAGGCCACCCCCGAAGGUACCUACUCCUGAUCCGGCACCGCCUCUUGAGGUGCCUGAGUCGUCGGUAUCUGGCGAGAUACAAGAUUUGCGGGAUCAAGUUGCCGCUCUUGUUGGAGUGGUGCGGAGACAAGCUGAAGCUUCUCAGCAGCUGGCUGAGGCCUCCCAGCGACAGGAAGAACAGAUGGCGCUGCUUCGGGAAUUGGUGUCCCGACAGGCGGCGGCGACACCUGUCACUCAGCAGCCACCCGUCUCACCUGUGCGCGCCCCUACUGGAGUUGAGGCGGCGGGUGCGGCGGCACCACCGCCGAUGGGGUACACCGUGCCACCAGGUGUGGCGGCGGGCACUUGCCCGGCGAUGUCGAGUACUUCUACUCAUGUUGAUCCGGCGUUGGAGGCCGAGAGGGACCGAGCUCUCGCUUGCCUCACCGCAUUCAAGAAGUUCAAUCCGCCUAUUUUCAACGGGGAGUCGGGUGACCCGUGGGAAAUGGAAUCGUGGGUGGAUACAAUGGAGAAGUUGUUCGAGGAUCUCUAUACCCUUGAGCAAGAUAAGGUGCACCUAGCUGUGCAUUGCCUCGAGAAGUCCGCUCGUGUUUGGUGGAAGGCGACUCGUCAGAAUCGCUCCCCUACAUUACCCCCGAUGAUGUGGGAGGAGUUCCGAGGAUUGCUUUAUGGUGUUCACUUCCCGGAUAGUGAUAAGAAGAAAAUGGAGGAGCAAUUCCGAAUCCUUAAGCAAGGGGAUCGCACUGUUCGAGAUUAUGAGAGGGAGUUCUCUCACAUUGUGAAUUGCGUUCCACAUGUGGUCCGGAGUGACGAAGACAAGGCGGGAUGCUUUGAGCGUGGACUUCGCCGCGAGAUCUAUGCGGCGAUGCAACCCUUAAGGUUGAAGACCUUUACUGAGGUGUUUGAUAGAGCUCUUUGGGUAGAGCAAGGAAUCGCCAAGAUGCGCGCGGAGCGCGAAUCGAAUGAUAAGGGUGCAGAUAAGAAGCGGUCGGCUAGUGGUCCCGCUGGAUCAUCAAAGUACAAGAAGCCCCCGAAGUAUCCGCGUAAGCCGGGGAAGGAUCGUGGACCUCCUCACUGCUACAUUUGUGGGGGAAAUCAUCGGUCCCACGACUGUGAGCGGCGUGGGAAGUGUUAUCAGUGUGGGCAACCUGGUCAUGGAUGGCGUGAGUGCCCAAUGCGUGUGUCACCGGCUCCGACUUCUGCUUCGGCUCCGCCUGCUCCGCGACAGUUCACAGGCCAUCCGCCCGCGAUGUCUACUGGACGCACCAUGGUGCCGCGUCAAGCCGAGGGAUCUCGUGCGGCGCCAAGUGGACGAGUUUAUGCUGCUCAAGUGGAGGAGCCUGCCGUAGCCGACGAUGUCGUGGCAGGUAUUAUUUUAGUUCAUAAUACUAGAGCUAGAGCAUUGUUUGACACUGGCGCAUCAAACUCAUUUAUUAGCAAGUCUUUCGCUAAAGCUCAUGACAUUGAAAUUUCAUUGUGUGCGGACUUUUGGUGGGUGGAUGCACCUGAGCACACAUUUAGUAUCAAGGAUGAAUGUAGAGCUUGUCCGGUGCAAAUUGGCGAUUGGAUCAUGCCAGUGAAUUUGCUUGUGUUGAACCGGAUGAAGGGCUUCGACAUAGUCCUUGGAAUCGAUUGGCUCUCAAAGUAUCAUGCCACCAUAGAUUGUAAAAGCAAGGUGAUCACUUUUUGUGAGCCUGGUCAGAAGGAAGUUGUUUAUCGUGCAUGCAAGAGCUCGCUCUUUGCUAUGACAGUGUCGACGUCAAGAGCAAGAAGGUUGAUUAAAAGUGGAUGUGAAGCCUACUUGGCGUCGGUGGUGGAGACUCAAAAAGAGCUCCCAGCUCUUGGGGACAUUCCGGUCGUAUGUGAAUUUCCGGAUGUAUUUCCCGCGGAAUUACCGGGAUUGCCACCGGACCGGGAGAUCGAAUUUGUGAUUGAAUUAAUUCCCGGGACGACGCCGAUUUCUAAAGCUCCUUACCGCAUGGCACCAGCGGAGUUGAAGGAAUUAAAGGCACAGUUGCAAGACCUUCUCGACAAGGGCUUUGUUAAGCCGAGUGUAUCACCGUGGGGAGCCCCGGUGUUGUUUGUAAAGAAGAAAGACGGAUCGCUUCGACUCUGCGUGGAUUAUCGCGAGUUGAACAAGGUCACAAUCAAGAACAAGUACCCGUUGCCUCGUAUUGACGACUUGUUUGAUCAGUUGCAAGGGUCGCGGGUAUAUUCGAAGAUUGACCUCCAGUCGGGCUAUCAUCAGUUGAAGGUUAAGCCGGAGGAUGUGCAUAAGACUGCGUUUCGGACGCGGUAUGGGCACUAUGAAUUCACGGUUAUGCCAUUUGGACUCACGAAUGCCCCGGCGGCUUUCAUGGACUUAAUGAACCGUAUCUUCAAGUCUUACUUGGACCGUUUUGUCGUAGUCUUCAUAGACGACAUCUUGGUCUACUCUCGGAGUGAUGAAGAGCAUGUGGAGCACUUGAGAAUUGUGCUACAACUACUUCGGGAGGAGAAAUUAUAUGCCAAGUUAAAGAAAUGCGACUUUUGGCUUCGGAAAGUUGCAUUCCUUGGGCAUGUGAUCUCGGCUGACGGAGUUUCGGUUGACUCGGGUAAGGUGGAGGCAAUAAAGAAUUGGCCUCGCCCGACGAAUGUGACUGAGGUUAGAAGCUUUUUGGGCCUUGCCGGCUAUUAUAGACGGUUCGUGGAAGGAUUUGCUAAGAUAUCUCUUCCACUAACGCGUCUUACUCAGAAAGGAGUUAAGUUUGCGUGGAGCGAGGAUUGUGCUCGAGGCUUUGGGGAAUUAAAGAAGAGAUUGACUACAGCUCCGGUCCUUGCCUUACCUACUCCCGGUGAGAGUUUUGUGGUGUAUAGCGAUGCUUCGCGAUUGGGUCUUGGGUGCGUGUUGAUGCAACGCGGGCAAGUUAUUGCAUAUGCUUCCCGACAGUUGAAGGCCUAUGAGAAAAAUUAUCCAACCCAUGAUCUCGAGUUGGCUGCCGUGGUCUUCGCACUCAAGUUGUGGAGACACUAUUUGUAUGGCGAGCGUUGCGAAGUAUACACCGACCACAAGAGCCUCAAGUAUCUGUUUACACAGAAAGAAUUGAACCUGAGGCAGCGCCGAUGGUUAGAAUUGUUGAAAGACUAUGACAUCACAAUUCUUUACCAUCCGGGAAAGGCUAAUGUGGUUGCCGAUGCAUUAAGUCGGAAGUCGGUGGAAAAUCUUGCGAUGAUGAUUACUAAACAACCGCCAUUGCUUGAAGAAUUGCGGCGUUUCAAUUUGGAAGUGGUAGCUCCGAACGUUCCAAUUGUUAUUGCAAGCUUAGUGGUGCGACCGACCUUGUUGGAGAAAGUUAAGACUCAACAGUUACAAGAUUCAUAUCUCCAAAAGGUGCGAGGUGAUGUUGAGGGUGGACAUGCGAAUGAUUUCAACGUUGGCUCCGAUGGCACAAUCCGGUUUCGAGGCCGAUUAUGUGUUCCUAGUGAUGAGGGAAUGCGGAGCGAGAUCAUGCAAGAAGCACACCAAUCCCCUUAUAGCAUACAUCCGGGUGGCACUAAGAUGUAUAAGGAUUUGAGAAACCAUUAUUGGUGGCCCGGGAUGAAGAAGGAUAUUGGUCGCUUUGUGGCGCAAUGUUUGGUGUGCCAACAAGUUAAGGCCGAACAUCGACUCCCUGCGGGAAAGCUACAAAGUUUACCAAUCCCCGUGUGGAAAUGGGAGGACGUGACUAUGGACUUGGUAGUGGGUUUACCUCGUUCUCAAGGCGGUCACGAUGCAAUAUGGGUGGUCGUGGAUCGCCUCACGAAAUCUGCGCAUUUCAUGCCAAUCCACACCACAUGGUCAGGUGAUAAACUUGCACAAGUUUAUUUGGAUGAGGUGGUCCGACUACAUGGUGUUCCGGUAUCAAUUGUGUCGGAUCGAGACCCUCGAUUUACUUCCCAGUUUUGGAAGAACUUGCAAAGUGCUCUUGGCACACGGCUCGAAUUUAGUACUGCCUUUCAUCCUCAGAGCGAUGGUCAGUCGGAGAGGACGAUACAAAUCCUUGAGGAUAUGUUGCGAGCAUGUGUUCUUGACUUCAAAGGAGGUUGGCAUAGUUAUUUGCCAAUGGCGGAGUUUGCCUAUAAUAAUAGUUAUCAAGCGAGCAUUGGAAUGGCACCGUUCGAGGCCUUGUAUGGACGGAAGUGCCGCUCCCCAAUACAUUGGAGUGAAGUUGGAGAGCGACUUGAAAUGGGUCCAGAUGUAGUACAAGAGGCCGAGGAGAAGGUUCGCAUUGCUCGGCAAAGAAUGCUAACGGCACAGUCUCGGCAAAAGAGCUAUGCUGACAAGCGCCGACGAAGCCUCGAGUUUACCGUGGGUGACAAGGUAUUCUUAAAAGUCUCCCCUAUGCGAGGCGUUAAGCGAUUUGGAAUGCGAGGGAAGUUAAGUCCUCGCUAUGUUGGGCCGUAUGAGAUUUUGGAUCGGGUUGGCCCCGUGGCUUAUCGGUUAGCAUUGCCACCUCGACUUGCGGGAGUGCACAAUGUGUUCCAUGUGUCGACACUCCGCAAGUAUGUUUCUAACUCUACGCAUGUACUCCAAUAUGAACCACCCGAGCUUCAGGAGGAUAUGUCGUACGAAGAAUUUCCGGUGCGCAUCCUAGCUCAUGAGGAGAGAAAGCUACGGAAUCGUGCGAUCGCAUAUGUCAAAGUUCAAUGGAGUAAUCAUGCUGAACGAGAAGCUACGUGGGAGCUCGAAAGCAAGAUGCAUGAAGAGUAUCCUUACCUCUUCCCCGAGUCUAAUUGAGGUAUAAUUUCAAGUUUCGAGGACGAAACUUCUUUUAAGGAGGGGAGGAUGUAGUGUACCGAAUUUUAACAUAGAAGUAAGAGUAAAUAAAAAUAGUGUAAAAUACUAUUUUUAUUGGACUUAAAGAAGUUUUCUAUGUGCAAAUGAGGUGCUUACUUGGGGGUUAAGUUUCCUAUGCAUAAGUAAAGAGUUUACUUGGGGGUCAAGUUUUCUAUGGCUAAGUAAUGGGCUAACUUGGAGGCUAAGUUUCCUAACUUGGAGGCUAAGUUUCCUAUGUAUAUAUAAAUAUGAUAUGAGGACUUGGACCUUUUCUCUCAUUUUCCACCCCUUAACCCAAAAAGAGAAGCCUUCUCUUUCCCUCUCUAAACCUCUCUCUCUCCUAGCUCCUAGAGUGUUACUCCAAAAGUGGAGAUUUGGUGGAAGAAGCUUACUUGGAGGUGGAGCUUUCCUCUUCCUCACCAUUGGCUUGAAGAGAGCUUGGGUUUGGAUCGGAAGGAAUCGACGGCCGUAAAUCGCGCUACUAGGCUACCCGCUUUGUGUCGACGCCACAAGGUGGGGGGUGCUAUCCGAAAUAGCCGGGUUUCAUUCUAUGUCUAAGUUCUACUAUUUUUUGAUCAUAUAUCAUCAUGUGUAGAAUAGUGAGAAUCCUAUGAGUUGUGGUAAUUUCAUGCUUAGUGUGAGGGAUGAUGAUCUAUGAUUGCAUGAUACUUGUAGGAAUAUCUAUUUGCAUGAUGUUGAGAUAGAUAUGGACAUGUAUGUUGCAUGAGAACCUUUAUAUGAUGCCAAUAUAGAUGUAUGUAUACAUAUAGCAUGAGUUGCUAGUGGACAUAUGCAUGUGGAUAUGAUGUGAGAAUAGACUAGAUUCAUGAGGAACUAGUAUGUGAACCAAUGACAUUUGAGAAUUGGAAACCUAUGCAUAUGUGGCCGACUUGAGCAUGCCUUGUGAUGAGGACUUGAUGAUACUCGCUUUGUCUGUUAUAGCUUGUGGAUGGUCGCGCCUCCCAAGCAGUGAGCUCCGGAGUUGUAUCACAAUUGCGAAUAAAGCGGGGGGCCUCUCCCGUCAGACGUCACGGUCCCGUGACAGUGUGUGCGAGUGGUUCGACCUUCGGGCGAAUCGAUUGGACUUGGCAAAAGGCAUGAUCAUGGCAUUUCAUAUAUCGUUUGCAUACAUGAUAGAACUUAAAUUCAUACUUGUUGACAUGAUUAGUAAAGGCAUAGCUACACAUUUGAGCAUGAUAUAGAUGUAGAUGAGCAAGGUAGGCUUGUUGUUAUAUCUCUUAUUUCUUUGACAUAUUAUCCUCUUUAUUGUUUCUAUGCCUUUCUUGGACCUAGUGGGAAAAUCGGCGGGGUCGGCGGCCGAACCCACUGGGAACUUUGUUUAGUUCUCACACCCUGUUUUACAGAGCCUAGUACGAGCGCGUGCGUCGAGGAUCGCGGCAAGGGCAUCGCGCCCUAGAUAGAGUGGACAAUCGACAUUAGCUCGCUACCCCCUAUGUAUAGCAAGGAAUGAAUGAAUGUAAAAACCCUUUUGGAAAGAGAAUAUGAUGUGUAUGUUAAAUGAGAGGUUUUGUAAUAAGCUAGAGAAUGUAAGUUGUUAAAGACUCUAUGUGGAAAUGUUUUAGUAAGUAGCUUGCUUUCUCUUGUGUCUUGAUAUGCCUCUCGCAAAUGUUGAAUGCUAAUAUCUCUUGUUUAGAUAUGUAUGCAUGGACUUUGUUACGCCUUGGGCGGAUAGGGGAAACUCUAUCCGUUCGGCGGAUCUGUUUCAGACCCGAACUGUCCAAAUUGGCGGUGACGGGACGUGACANACUUUUCGGUCGUUUGAAUUUGGGUUUAGUUUAACGACUUUUCGGUUGUUUGAAUUUGGGUUUAGUUUAGCAAUUUUUUGAUCGAUUGAAAUCGAGAUGUUCAUGAAACCGAUUCAUGAAAUUAAUUCAUGCUAGGAGCCCGUUUGUAAAGUCCAUUAAAUUUAUGACAAGGAGGGCCCAUGAAAUUAAUUUAUAGAAUUAAUUCAUGAUAGGGGGCCUAUUUGGCAAACCCAUGAAAUUAAUUUGUCAAAUUAAUUCAUGAUAGGAGGUCCAUUUGGAAAGUCUAUAAAACUAAUUCAUGAUAAGGGGGCCUAUUUUGCAAACCAUGAAAUUAAUUCGUAGAAUUAAUUUAUGAUAAGGGGUCAUUUGGAAAGCUCAGGAAAUUAAUUCAUAGAAUUAAUUUAUAAUAAAGAGCCCAUUUGGAAAGCCCAUGAAUUCGGUUUGGGUUGGAGGUAUUUGGAUGACAUAGGUUUGGUAGAUUUGGUUGGGUUUUAUUUAUGAACUUUGGAUUUUGGAUCUUUGAGUUUUGGAUCUUUAUUUGUGGAUUUUGGAUUUUUGGGAUUUUGUUUGUGGGCUGAGAUAGAUCUUGGAUUUUAUAUGUUCAGGGCCCAACUCUGCAUGUGGGCUGAGACGGGUUACGGGCUUUAAUAUUCUGGGCUCGAAUCUGUAUGUGGGCUGGGUUUUUUAUUGAUUUUGAAUCCAAAUCUGCGUAUGGGCUGGAUUUCGGGCUCUACAGGUUGUGGACUCGAAUUUGCAUGUGGGGUUGGUGCCUCUCUUUUUUUAUUGCUUAUAAAGUUUAUUCGUGUAACCCAUAAAUAAAUAGCUCAAAUUCAUUUCAUCAACAAUUUUUUUUGGUUCCAUUUUUUUUGUUCUUUCUUUUUUUUUUUUUAACUGAGAGAAGGAACAACUUUUUUUUUGCAUUUGUUCUUUUCUUUCAUUUUCUUUUCUUUUUUUUCUCUUUUUUUUGUGUGGACUGUCAGAGAGAGAGAGAGAUACAACUCCCUCUCUCUUUGUCUGUGUGUGUACGAAAUUGAGACAGAGAGAGAGAGGGGGUACCUCUCCCUUUUCUUUUUUUUUUUUGCUAAUUGUGAGAGAAAGGAAACCCAACUCCUUUUUUUUUUCUUUUCUUUUUUUUUUUCUUCUUUUCUUUCUUUUUCCUUUUUUUUUGCUGACUGUGAGAGAGAGAGAGAGGGAAAACCCAACUCUCUCUCUCUCUCUCUCUCUCUCUCUUUCUUUGUGUGCGUACGAAACCGAGGGAGAGAGAGUAGUACCCAACAACUCCUUUUUUUUUUUCUUUCUUUUCUUUCUUUUCUUUUCUUUUUUAUUCUUUCUUUCUUCUUUUUUUCUUUUGUGUUGACUGCCAGAUAGAGAGAAGUCCAACUUUUUUUUCUUUUUCUUCUUUUUUUGUUUGUUUGUUUGUUUGUUUUUUUUUAUUAUUUGUCCAAAUAUACGAAAUUUCGUAUCUCAUUUUUUUUAUACGAAAUUUAUCACGUCGAGCAAUACGAUCAAAUCGAACGAAGAUGAUGAAUCAAAACAGAACCCGUCCAUUUUUAAUUAUCAUUCUUAUUGUUAUUAUUUUUUGUCGCGUUUUGUUCAAGUACGCGGAGUUUAAUCGUGUCGAGCCUAUCACGAAGAUGGCCGCUCGAUUAAUUCUUUUGACCAUGUCGAACCUAUCGCGAAGAUGGCCGCACGGUUUACGUAUCGAAAUAAACAGAGCUCGAUCACCCAUUUUGACCAUGUCGAGCCUAUCGUGAAGAUAGCCGCACGGUUUACAUAGUAAAAUAUCCGGUUCGAUCAAUCAUUUUGACCAUGUCGAGCCUAUCACGAAGAUGGCCGCACGGUUUAGAGAUUAGCGAUGCGUACGAUAGAAGCGACGAUUUAAUGUCAAAUUUGAUCGGUUCAAAACCUAUCACGAAGAUGGUCGGGUUGAUCAAAUUGACAAAAAAAAACUCACGGUUUAGAGAUUAGCGAUGCAUAUACGCGACGGAAGCGACGAUUUAAUGUCAAAUUUGAUCGGUUCAAAACCUAUCACGAAAAUGGUCGGGUUGAUCAAAUUGACAAAAAAACGGACUUACGCUAUGCGUAUGCAUGCAUAUCUCCUACUGUUAUAGAAGUCGUUGUGAUUGUCGUUGUCGAAGUCGUAGCCGAAUUCAAGAGCCAGAGUCCUUUUUUAAUUCUUCUUUUUUUUUGUUGCUUUGUACGGAAGAGGAGGGGUGCACAUGGCACCCCCACUGCCAGCCGAGAGAGAGAGAGUGAGAGAGGAGAGAGAGAGAGGAGAGUAUAAAAACUCUUUUUUUUUUGUUUCUCACCUUUUUUUUCUUUCUUCUUCUUCUUUUUUUCUUUUUUUUUUUUUGCUUUGGUUCUCUUUCGGAUCUCUCCCUUUCUUCCUUCCUCUAAAAAAAUUCUCUCUCUAGACUCCUCUUUCGAAAUUUGGAUCUUAUUUUAUAUAGGAUUCAAAGAUGAUUCCCAUUUGGGAAUAAUUUAAAAAAUCAAUUUAUGAGGAAACAAACCUCAAUCAACUAAUUAUACCUCUUUUGUUUUAUUUUUUGAUAAUUUCCUCUUUUUUUUUCUUUUGAAUCUUUUCUUUCCCUAUUUCCUUCCUUCUAUAUUUUCAAUUUGAAUUUGAACUUUUUUUUUGUCUCAANCUAGGCGUAGCAACUGUUGAAACUUCACAUUGUGACUUAGACUAGAUCUUCAGGAUGCUAGUUAUGACACCAUGUUAGAGACAUGAGGAUUGGAUAGUUGAGACUUGGACCAUGCUUGCUUGCCAUUUGUGCUCAUUCGCACAUGCUUGUGAGGGUCGCUCCCUACAAGCCGGCACUCCGGAGUUAGCCUAUGCGACCUAUGUUCGCUCGUGCGGUAUUGAGAAGCCUACGAGGUCGAGUGGGACAGACACAUUCCAAGAGUAGGAAUGUCGGGCUACCACAGGCACUUAGGCGGCACAAGCUGGACUACCUUUGGUAGGUCCUUGAUUGGAAAUGGAAAUCGAUACGGGGUCGAGAUUGGUUAAUCACUACUAGAUAGGUUUAGUAGUUGGAUUACAUUUAUAUGUUUUUUUGCAUAGUGUUGAGACAUGUAGUAUAUUUGAUAGUCUCUUGUUGCAUUAGAGCAUACUUGGUUGCCAUGAUAGAGCUUAUGCAUCAUGCAUUGAUAAGGGUUAUUGACAUUAGACUAGUGCCAUUGGACGUAAUUGUAAGGAUAGAAUAGAUGUACAUUUUGGUUUGCAUCACGCUUUCUUUCAGCAGUUUAUUUACAUGCUCCUUAUUGCUUAUUAUUAUUAUCGUUGCUUACCUUUGUUUUUGGGGCCUAGUGGAGCAGGAGCUGAGGUCAGUAAUUGCCCACUGGGAACUAUAGCUUAUAGUUCUCACGCCCUCUUUUUCUCGAUGUUUUCAGAGCCUUCCACUCAGGGCGAAGCUAGGGACCGCGGGAAGGGAGUUGCUUCGAGCUAGCUUCCUUUGAGGACGAUUCGCUAGGUGGUCUACCUCUCGUUGUGUUUUACUUUGGAGAGGUUGAGAGUUCUACCAGUGUAUUAGAGACCACCGUUUUUGUACUUUUGAGACAGAUAUUGUACUACUUAUGAUUUCUUUAUUGUCUAGCUUUGCUUGCUCUGAUAUCUCUAGUUGCUAGUUAUUUUAUUUCUUAUAUUUGUUCUAUCUCUUGCUUUUACUUCCGCUUUUAUCGUAGACGCCUUAUAUGUGUAGACAUAUGGCGGGUCUGGGCACGCUACUGGGAGGGCCUCCGCCGGUCCCGGGGCGUGACAUAUCUCUUCCACUAACGCGUCUUACUCAGAAAGGGGUUAAGUUUGCAUGGAGCGAGGAUUGCGCUCGGGGCUUUGAAGAAUUAAAGAAAAGGUUAACUACAACUCCAGUUCUUGCCUUACCUACUCCCGGUGAGAGUUUUGUGGUGUAUAGCGAUGCUUCGCGAUUGGGUCUUGGGUGUGUGUUGAUGCAACGCGGGCAAGUCAUUGCAUAUGCUUCCCGACAGUUGAAGACCUAUGAGAAGAAUUAUCCCACCCAUGAUCUUGAGUUAGCUGCCGUGGUCUUCGCACUUAAGCUAUGGAGACAUUACUUGUAUGGCGAGCGUUGCGAAGUCUACACCGACCACAAGAGCCUCAAGUAUCUGUUUACACAGAAAGAGUUGAACCUUAGGCAGCGACGAUGGUUAGAAUUGUUGAAAGACUACGAUGUCACAAUUCUUUACCAUCCGGGAAAGGCUAAUGUGGUUGCCGAUGCAUUGAGUCGGAAGUCGGCGGAAAAUCUUGCGAUGAUGAUUACUAACCAACCGCCAUUGCUUGAAGAAUUACGACGUUUUGACUUGGAGGUAGUAGCUCCGGACGUCCCAAUUGUUCUUGCAAGCUUAAUCGUGCAACCGACCUUGUUGGAGCGGAUUAAGACUCAACAAUUACAAGAUUCUUAUCUCCAAAAGGUACGAGUUGACGUUGAGGGUGGACGUGCUAGUGAUUUUAGUGUUGGCUCCGAUGGCACCAUUCGGUUUCGCGGUCGGUUGUGUGUUCCUAGUGAUGAGGGAAUGCGGAGCGAGAUCAUGCAAGAAGCACAUCAAUCCCCUUAUAGCAUACAUCCGGGUGGCACUAAGAUGUAUAAGGAUUUGAGAACCCAUUAUUGGUGGCCCGGGAUGAAGAAGGAUAUCGGUCGCUUUGUGGCGCAAUGUUUGGUGUGCCAACAAGUUAAGGCCGAACAUCGACUCCCUGCGGGAAAACUUCAAAGUUUACCAAUCCCCGUGUGGAAAUGGGAGGAUGUGACUAUGGACUUGGUAGUGGGGUUACCUCGUUCUCAAGGCGGUCAUGAUGCAAUAUGGGUGGUGGUGGAUCGCCUCACGAAAUCUGCGCAUUUCAUGCCAAUCCACACCACAUGGUCGGGUGAUAAACUUGCUCAAGUUUAUUUGGAUGAGGUCGUCCGACUACACGGAGUUCUGGUAUCGAUUGUGUCGGAUCGGGACCCUCGAUUUACUUCACAGUUUUGGAGGAACUUGCAGAGUGCUCUGGGCACACGGCUCGAGUUCAGUACUGCUUUUCAUCCUCAAAGUGAUGGCCAGUCAGAGAGGACGAUACAAAUCCUUGAGGAUAUGUUGCGAGCGUGUGUCCUUGACUUCAAGGGAGGUUGGCAUAGUUAUUUGCCUAUGGCGGAGUUCGCCUACAAUAACAGUUAUCAAGCGAGUAUUGGAAUGGCUCCAUUCGAAGCCUUAUAUGGACGGAAGUGCCGCUCCCCGAUACAUUGGGGUGAAGUUGGAGAGCGACUUGAAUUGGGUCCGGACGUGUUACGCGAGGCCGAGGAGAAAGUUCGCAUUGCUCGGCAGAGAAUGUUAACGGCACAGUCUCGGCAAAAGAGUUAUGCCGACAAACGUCGACGAAGCCUCGAGUUUGCAAUUGGAGACAAGGUAUUUUUAAAGGUCUCCCCGAUGCGAGGCGUUAAGCGGUUUGGAAUGCGAGGGAAGUUAAGUCCUCGCUACGUCGGGCCGUAUGAGAUUUUGGAUCGGGUUGGCCCUGUGGCUUAUCGGUUGGCGUUGCCACCUCGGCUUGCGGGAGUGCACAAUGUGUUCCAUGUGUCGACACUCCGCAAGUAUGUUUCCAACUCUACGCAUGUGCUCCAAUAUGAACCACCCGAGCUCCGGGAGGAUAUGUCGUACGAGGAAUUUCCGGUAUGCAUCCUAGCUCGUGAGGAGAGGGAACUACGGAAUCGUGCGAUCCCAUAUGUCAAAGUUCAAUGGAGUAAUCAUGGCGAACGAGAAGCUACAUGGGAGCUCGAAAGCAAGAUGCGUGAUGAGUACCCUUACCUCUUCCCCGAGUCUAGUUGAGGUAUGACUCUAAGUUUCGAGGACGAAACUUCUCUUAAGGAGGGGAGGAUGUAGUGUACCGAAUUUUUUUAAUAUAGAAAUAAGAGUAAAUAAAAGUAUAUAAAAUUGUGCAAAUGAGAGGGGCUAAGGUGUAAUUGUGCAAAUGAGAGGGGCUAAGGUGGAAUGGUGCAAGUAAAAGAGUUUUACUUGGAGGGCAAGUUUCCUAUGUAUAAGAGAUUACUUGGAGGGCAAGUCUCCCUAUGUUAUGAGAGGGACUAAAGUGUAAUUGUGCAAAUCAAGGGUUUACUUGGAGGGCAAGUUUCCUAUGAGUGUGAGUGAACCCUUGCCCCCUUUUUCCCAAACCGUAGGAAAGAGAGAGUGGGCUUUCUCUCUCUUUCUCUCUUUGUCCUUGUGGUCUCUCUUUCUCUCUCUCUUUCUCUUUAUUAAAAAGAGGAUUUGCUAAAGAGAGGAUUUGCUAAGAGAGGAUUAGAGAAUACUAAUUGGAGUUGCUUGGUGGUGAAGCAAGCUUAGUGGAGAAGAAGGCUUGGAAUUGAGCUACUUCCUUCAUCUUCUUCAUCACUUGGAUUAGAGAAGAAAGCUUGUUUAAGGUAAGCUUCAUGGGCUCUAAUGGCAUAUAGCUAGAGAUGGGUUUAAAUCUCUUAGAAUCUAGCUAGAUGGAAAUCCUAGUUAAUGUUAGGUUGCUAUUUGCUUGAAUCAUGAAUUUAUAUAGUAUAUUAUUGCAAUAGUGACCUCUAGGAUUUUGAAAGAGAGCUCUUGAUCAUGAGAGGUUUUAAUCUCAAUUGAUCAUAUGUUUCCGCAAUUGAAGGUAAAACCGAUGCGGAGGAUCAUUCGGAUUGAGAUUCCGUUGAGCCGGUGGUGGUCAAAGUGAAGAAAAUUCUAUUUUGCUUCAUUUGUCGCAGUUGGAAGAAAACAACGGCCAUAAAUCGCGCUACUAGGCUACUCGCUUCGUGUCGACAUCACGAGGUGGGGGGUGCUAUCCGAAAUAGCCGAGUUUCAUUCUAUGUCUAAGUUCUACUUUUAUUGAUCAUAUAUCAUCAUGCAUAGAAUAGUGAGAAUCCUAUGAGUUGUGGUAAUUUCAUGCUUAGUGUGAGGGAUAAUGAUCCAUGAUUGCAUGAUACUUGUAGGAAUAUCUAUUUGCAUGAUGUUGAGAUAGAUGUGGACAUGUAUGUUGCAUGAGAACUUUUAUAUGAUGCCAAUAUAAAUAUUGUACAUGUUGUAUGAAUUGCUAGUGGACAUAUGCAUGUGAAUAUGAUGUAAGAAUAGACUAGAUUCAUGAGGAACUAGUAUGUAAACCAAUGACAUUGUGAGAAUUGGAAACUAAUGCAUAUGUGGCCGACCUGAGCAAAGCAUGCCUUGUGAGGAUAGGGAUAUGGUACUCCCGUGGCCCUCGAAUGAGAGGACUUGAUCAUACUCGCAUUGUCUGUUAUAGCUUGUGGAUGGUCGCUCCUCCCAAGCAGUGAGCUCCGGAGUUGAAUCACAUUGAGAUUGGAACGGGGGAGAGAGUCACUACGGUGCGCCCUCGGCAGACGGUCACGGUCGCGUGACAGUAUGUGUAGCGAGUGAUUCGACCUUCGGGCGAAUCGUUUGGAUUUGACACAGGCAUGAUCAUGACAUUUCGUAUAUAGUUGCAUACAUGAGAGAACUUAAACAUGUACUUGUUGACAUAAUUUGUAAAGGCAUAGCUACACAUUCGAGCAUGAUAUAGAUGUGGAUGAGCAAGGUAGGCUUAUUGUUAUAUCUAUUAUUCCUUUGACAUGUUGACCUCUUUAUUGUUUCUAUGCCUUUCUUGGACCUAGUGGGAAAAUCGGCGGGGUCGGCGGCCGAACCCACUGGGAACUAUGGAUAAUAGUUCUCACACCCUGUUUUGCAGAGCCUAGUUCGAGCGCGUGUGUCGAGGAUCGCGGCAAGGGCGUCGCGCAGUAGAUAGAGUGGAUCACCGGCGUUAGCUCCCUACCCUCGAGAAUAAAAAAGAAAAGAAUGAUAUGUAAAACCCUUUUGUGAAGAAAUGUAAUGUAUUUGAGGGAUGGCAUUUUGGUUGUAUGUAUGAGAAGUCAAGUGAAAUAUGUAAUGGUUCUUGUGUGUGAACAAGUAAUGAAAUAGAUAGUUUAAAUUCUCUCGUUUCUGUGAUUGCCUCUCUCAAUGUUGAAUGCUAACAUCUCUUGUUGGAUAUGUAUGCAUAGACUUUGUUACGCUUCGGGCGAGCAGGGGAAACUCUGUCCGUUCGGCGGGUCUGUUUGGGCCCGAACUGUCCAAAUUGGCGGUGUCGGGUCGUGACAAAACAUGUCCAAGUUUCUAUACAAAAAUAAACAUCUAUUGGGGUUCCUCCUCUAGUGCAAGCAACUAUGGUAGGAGACAUUAUCUAGUUUGCGAUCACCUUACCUUAAUCAGACACUGACACUAAGAACUCUGAAAGAAACACAAUAAAAAGAGGGUGUGAGAAACUGCUGAACAAAAAUCUCCAGUGGGUACAAUUGACGACAACGGCAACCUACACUACUAGGUCAAUUAAACGUAAUAAUAGUAAUAAACUGAGUGAAUAUGAGCAUAUACUAAACUAGAAAGAAAGAAUGCUAUCAUGCCUCUAUACUAACUAAUGAAAAUAGUGAUCAAAUAUGAAGCAUCAACUAUGAUACUAGAUAAAGUGAUGCUGUAUAAUUAAUCAAAUCGUACCGACCAACUCAUAAGUCUGAUCAAGCCUGCGCACGCCUCAUGCCCAGUCCCCACUCCCACAUGUGGUCUGUCUACAUGCAGGCUAUCUAGUUUAUCUAUAUUUGCCAGCCUCCAGAGGGGCACUCGUGGGUUGCGAUCCCGCCAAGUAUCAUAUCAUGUAUCUCUGUUAAGCUCAAUAUGGCUUUCAUAACUAGGCUAUAGUCUGAUGAUAUAAAAGAUCAUAAGUAAUACUGUUUAGGCACCCUCUGGCACAAUCGCAUACUGUCCCACUGUCCAGCACUGUAAAACUAUCUUGUGACACUUUUUUUUUUAUAAAUUUUUGCAUACAAUGACAGGUCAUCAUUAUAUAUAAAAUAUAAUCUCAAAUAGUAGGAAUAUCAAACAUUUGCAAAAUACUCCACAUGCUGAUAAGGUAUUCGAAUAGCAGAAUCAUGCCAACAUAAGUGUCCUCAACUAUACAAAGCCAUUGAACAAGUCACCAAAUCAAGCAUACAAAAACGAAAUCAGAGUUAGUCCACUAUUUUCGGUGACAUGGAAUCCAAAUAGACAAGCUACUUCAAGGAAGGCAAGAUAACGACACACUCCAGCACCUCCCUCCUCAAAAGCGCCAAAAUCCAAUAAGAAACCCCCAAAACUCAGCUCCUAAAAAUCAACAAUUAAGUCCUUUGCUAAAUCAACAUUGAUAAAAAUCCCAAUAAAAAUCCCAAUCUCCAAAUACAAUCGUUACUCGCCACUAAUAAUAGAUAAAGAGAUGGACACCUCAAGCUGUCCUCCUCCUUACUCUACAGGAUCAUCCUUAAGCUACACAAAAUUCCAAAUCCUCAACAGACCAACAAUAAGGAAGAAGGUUACUCAACCUUUGGGUUCUCUUAGCCAGAGCCUUAAGCUACGCUAAGGAGAAAAGGAAGAAGAAGAGAAACAAAAAGGCUCAAUUGGUGAGAAAUGAGAAAAGCUAUGCGCCAUCGUGCUAUUUAUAGAUUGGACAUAAAAGCAAAAAAGCUCUCCAAAUAUUAAAAAAAAUCCACGUCAUGCUAAAACCAAGUUUCACGCGUUCGGAACCAUCUUUCGAGCAUCAGAUUCCUCAAGCUCCAUAGCUUUCGGGCACUCCCAACAUGCAAUGGAUCACCUGAACCAUCGUAGUGCUCACCAUUUCUAUCAAAUCAACCCCAUCUAAUUGUUGUGCUGCUACAGUAACAAAUGAGCACUUACAAACCAGCUACUCAACACAUCCUAAUCCAUCUACGAUAGAAUUGGGCAGCCAGAACUUCACCCAAAGCUUUCGGGUGCUCGAUCCAACAUUUCGAACACCCUUUGCACUUAGCUCACCAUUUUCGAGCACCCUAGACUCUGUCCGAGUAUCCGAAAAAGUUUGAAACUUCAGUUUUAGUUGAGUUCAGUAUCCCAAGCCCGUUUUCACGCCAAAACUGCUCCAACUCAAUCUAACACCUUACAUAAGUGCCAACUAGAAAGCCAUACUAUAAUCUUUUGUAGCACACUGAAUUUCAGCAAGUUGCAGGGUUCUAUUGAGAGAAAGUGUUUUGUACUAUUCUGGAGGUUUUGAAUGAUAUUGGAGAGCUUAGGGACGUUUUUAGGACUUAAUUAGCGCGAAAACGAAUCUUGGAGAUUAAAAUCUGCAAAAACAGCAGUUUGGCAUUGUGAACUGGUACUGCAUGUGUGUAGCGGAGCUCAGUUGAAGACUAGGUUGGAUCGCUCUCGAGUUUUGCGAAAAUGGGCUGGGUACUGGUAUUGAUUCUGCAUGUAUUGGUAAUGAUUCGGGCUGUGCCGGAACACAGUAGAGGGUUGUGGAAUCCAAAGUUUGAGUUUUGCGGAGCUGGAUUCGAGUACCGGAGCACUUCGGUCGUGUACCGGUACUCCAUUUCAUGUACCGACACUCAAUGGUGUAGAAAUUAUUUCACUUAGGUUGUAAUUUUCAAGUUUUGGGGGGCCUUUGGGAAUAUUAUUACAACAGGUAAAAUACCUCCUUCACCCAUCUCAUUUGCCUAUUGCAGCUAUAGCAAGAGCAAGGAGAGAGAUAUGAGUUUCUCCCCUAUUUUCCUUGGGUUUCUUCCUCCAAUCCCCCUAAUCCUUGGAUUUCUCUUUCUUUUCCUUUUCACCAUAGAUGCUUGCACCUAGAGCUUGGAGUGGAGUUUGGACUUGAAGGAAUUGUUUGGAGCCCUAAGCUUCAACCCUAGCAUUUCUAAAGUGGGAUUGGAGCUUCGAUUAAGGUUGGUAACCUUCUUUAAUCCUUUACUUGAUAGUUUUGUAGGAGUUUUGGUAGAAAAUCUAGUUUUGUAGAAAUUAGACUUUACUUUAGAAAUUUUCAAUUGUGAGGUUUUAUGUUGAAAUUGAUGAGUGUAGAACACUCUUAUAGGUUGGAAUUUAAGCCCCAUUUCUUUGAUUUGAAGCUUGGACGAGUUUGCCUUGGUCUAAGGUAUUUUACACUCAUUUUGUGAGAGGGUUUUUAAAUGUCCUAACCCCUUGAAAAUUUUUCUUAGUACAUAUUAUAAGUAGAGGACAACUUGUUUCGAGAAACAAUCGGAUUUCGGUGGCUAUCUAGUGAGUUUGACCUCACCGAAAUUGGUGAACUCUCCCUAUAUCUCCUAUUAUGUUUACAGCGCUUAAUAGAUGUUCUAACAUGAAAUUUAUGACAUCAUUAAAUUUUUGAGCAUGUGAUUGACCACUUUGUCACGUCCUGGGGCCGAUUAUAAAAGCCUUUUUAUAAUUAAUACUAUUUUUUGAAAAGUUUUCAGAGUUGCGGAAAACAUGCCAUUUUUUUUUGAAUUCAACCUGACCCACAUGGCGUACCGCCACAAAUACAAAGUUCCUCUGCCCACAUUGACAGAGUCUCCUUUGCAUUUGCACGGCGUACCCAAAGAUAACGACAACAGGAUCACAUCUCACAAUCUACAUUUACCAAUCCACAAGCAAUUCAUGUGAUGCAAUUCCAUACAGCUAGUGAUCCUUAAAGAUGAUGUAUGCUUCUAAACACUCCUUAGGCGCUGGAUAAUGCGAUGUACAAUACAACAGUCAUCCUAUUUAAAAAUGCUCUCUACCCGGAAGCUUUGUUUUUAAACUCUAUUUGUUCAUCCAUGAAAAUAAUUCAAAAACCUUUUAAAACUAUUUUUCACUCGAAAACUCUAUUUUUGAAAGCCGAUUACCUCGAGGGGUAGAAAACCACAACGUAUAAAUCCAGAUACCAAAGAUCCAUAAAACUCCGAUUGCAUGCAUAAUAGAAAACAUCAACUCAUACAAGUUCACGAUUAGUCAAGCAGUAACUAUGAUCAUCUAACUGAACCAUUUAUUAUUUAAAUUACUAACUAUAGAAAAGAAAAUAACCAGGGUAAUGACUGCUAAUAUGGCCUAGCUAGAACGUCUUUCCGUCGCACCAAGAACCAACUCCUUGCCCUUGCCACUUGGGGAAAUGGGGGUGAGAAACCACAAUCAAGGUUUUCCAGUGGGUACGACAGAGCCACGAAGGCAAAUCAUAUUUACUAGAAAACAAAGGAAAUAGAUCAACAUGUAUACAAGAUAUAUAAGUGAACAACAGUAUUAAUUACAAAAUAGUAAAUGAGUAAGGGAUAAGGCUACUACUGUAUCAUAAUCUCAACUGAAUAGAUGCCUCAAAGGUAAAUGAUCCAAUCAAAUCCAAUCUGGUGCCUGCCAUAUGACCGCAGACCUUAAGCUUGCAUGUCACAGGGCAUACACUUACUUGAUUCACGUGUCCACUGACGACCUAUUCGGAUACGUACAGCACCUGGUCGGUGGCCAAACCAACCGGUGUCUAGAAUACACAGUGCCGUGACUAAAUCAUACUGAUAUGCUCAAUGUGAAAAUCAGUAGAAAAUCGAUGCCCUGCCCUAAGCUAGAUACAAAGGCGUAUAACGCCGAACCAUGAUCAACUAGAUUGAAACUGUAAUGUACCGAGUCCUCGAUGCGUAAACCGAACUUUAGUCCAAAUUGACCAAAGUAUGGUACUGGACGCUUCGGAAAGGUCCGUUGAGUGUUCUGAGCGAUCGAAAUGGCUUAUAAGGGUAUGAAGGACCUUGGAGAGCAAGAUGGAGAAAUUACAAAAAAUUUCGUGCUGGAAAUGCUCUCGGGACUCGAACAUGAAAAAUCUCAGCGUUAAGUGAGGGCUUGCUUUGGUGAGGGGCCUUGGUGCAAUUAUGCAGGGCAAGUGUUUAUAUGAAGGUUCCAAGCUUAUUCCUUCAUUUCCCUCACGCUUGCAACAUAAGAGAAAAGCUUCUCUUUCUCUCUCUAAAUCUCUCUCUCUCUCUCUUAGGGUUUGCUCCAAGAGAUGGAGUUGGUGGAGGAGAGCUUGCUUGGUGGUGAAGCUAUCAUCUUCUUCACCCUAGGCUUGAGAAGAAGCUUGAGUUGAGAUAAGCCUCAUGGAUUUUGAGGGUUUUGGAGUUUAGGUUUUGUAUAAUCCCUUAGAUGUGAGUUCUAAUGGAGCCCUAGAUGAAUCUAAACCAUGUUAUAGCAUAAACUACCAUGAGAUUUGGAAUUUUAUGCCAUAUGAGGAUUUUUAGGGUUUUGAAGAGGGCUUUGAUCAUGAUUGGAUUUGAUCUAAAUUCAGCCUAUGUAAACCUAAUUGAAGGUGAAACCGACACGGUGGGCAACUCGAAUCGGAGUUCCUACGGGCAUGCAGCGAGUUAUUGAAGAAAAGUACGAUUUUUGGUUCAUUUGCAUUGGGUCGAGCCGAAACGACGUCCAUAAAUCGCGAGGCUUGGAUUCUCGCACCUCGGCAUCGUAGAGAGGUGGGGUGGUGCUAUCCGAAACAAUCGGAUUUCCUUUUAUGUCUAUGUCAUCAUAUUGGCCAUGUAUACACAGGUGUAGGAUUCAUGCAUUGUAGAAUAGUUUGUAUUGGUUAUUCCAUUCGUUGCAUGCUCUCAUGGUAAAUAUAGAAAAUAUGAGAUGGAACAUAGUGGGUUAUGUGCAUGAGGAUUGGAUUGAGAAUAAGAACUCUAUAAUGCUAUGACAUUGUGAACUUACAAACAUAGUGACAUAAACAGGUGGCAUUUGGAUAGUAAACUGAGAACACUCAUGACAUGAGAAUAGGGAUUGAUAUCUCCCUUGGCAUUUGUUACCACUAAUUGGUAGGGUAUCGUCGGGAUAAAGGAUUGGAUCAUACUCACAUUUUGUCUGUUCGCUUGGCGUUGGUCGCUCCACCCAAGCAGUGGUUUCCGGAGUACUUCACGGUAAGGGUUAACGUAGCUACCCUGCAGACGGUCCCCAAUGGGUGUAGCUGGGCUCCCCAUUUGCUCGAUUCGUGUCACGCCCCGGGACCCUGCAUAGGUCCGCCCGGUGUGUGCCCAGACCCGCCAUAUGCCUGCACAUAUAAGGCGUCUACAAGAAUAGAGAAAUGAAAGCAAGAAGGAGUAAGACAACUAGAGAUAUCAGAGCAACCAGCAGCUAAAAUACUAGUAACAAGUAGAGAGAAAAGAAAACUAAUCCACUAAUAGUAAAACAUAAGGAAAAUACAUCAUCUGUCUCAAAAUACAAAAUGGGUGGUCUCUAUACAUGGUACAACUCUCAACCUCUCCAAAAUAAAACCAAUGAGAGGUAGACCACCUAUCGAUACGUCCCUCGCAAAAGAGCUAGCUCGAGGCGAUGCCCUUUCCGCGAUCCCUAGCCUCGCCCGGUGUGGAAGGCUCUGAAAGGAAACAAGAAACAGGGGGCGUGAGAACUAUAAUUUAUAGUUCCCAGUGGGCAAUUACUGACCUCGGCACAAUGCACCACUAGGCCGAAAAGAGUAAGAUAGGUACGAAAAGCAAUAGAAAUAAACUACAGAUAUUAAAGCAUGUAUAAGCGCUAACUACUAUGCCAUAAGCGUUAAGAUGACAAUAUGUGGCUCAUUCAUUCUAUCAUGCUCAAGUAUGUCCAAUACAUAACUAGUAUGAUCCCAUAUGGCAAGCAAGUAUACUAAAAUGCAAUGAGCGUUAUUAUCAAGUAUACUAUAAGUCCAAAAGCCCAAACCUAUGCUAUAAGCAUGUCCAAGAAACCCGACCACUAUAAUCUAUUUAGUAAUGAUUUUACUUAUGCGACUCCGUGUCGAUUUCCAUUUCCAACGAAGGACCUACCCAAGGUAGUCCGGCUUGUGCCCCCUAAGUACCUGUGGUAGCCCAACAUUCCCACUCGAGGAAUGAGUCUGUCCCACCCGGCCCCAUAGGCUUCUCAAUACCGCACGAGCGAACAUAAGUCGCAUAGGCUAACUCCGGAGUGCCGGCUUGUAGGGAGCGACCCUCACAAGUAUGUGCGAAUGAGCACAAAUAGCAAGCAAGCGUAGUCAUCGUCUCAAAUACCUAAUCAUCAUGUCUCUAACAUGGUAAUAGUCACUAGCAACCCAUCGGUCUAGUCCAAUGUCCAACGUGAAGGUUUAACCAUUCAUUAUGUCCAAUGCCCUUUUAUGGCAUUACAUCUCACUAUGCCGAAAUCUUGUUCCAACACUAAUGCCACUUUAUGACAUUAGGUUUACUAAGUCCACACAUAUUUCAAGCCUAAUGCUCCUUUAUGACAUUAGUUUACUAUACCAAUUCGAAGCCCAAUGUCUCUUUAUGACAUUGGCUUGCUAAUUCACAAAUCACUCUAGUCUAAUGUCCCCUUAUGAUAUUAUCUACUAGGUUCACAUAUGGCCCAAGCUCAAUGUCGCUUUAUGACAUUAGCUCACUAAUUCACAUGAAAUUUAAGUUCCAAGCCACUUCAUGGCCUAAUGUAUUCUCAUAUGUCCAAGGUAUACGAUCAUGGUCAUUUCACUAUAUGAAACAUGAUUUUAAGUCCCGAAUACGAAUGCUAAACUCAUGCAUAAAUCUCACAUGCAAGCUCUCUACUACAUAGAGAUCCAAAAAUACAUUGUAUACAACAUAAGCAUUUUAAGCAUUCUAAAAUUCAUAAAUAAUGCAUCUAACAUAAACAUGCAUGAUUUUUCAUUUUACGAUACUUAAAUCCACAAAAAUGAGAUUUUUUCAUUCUUAGGUGAGAUCAAACCCACCGAGUGUCACGCCCCGGGACCCAGCGGAAGCCCGCCCGGCAUAUGCCCAGACCCGCCAUAUGUCUAAAACAUACAAGGUGUCUAAAACAAAGUGAUAAAUAAAGCAGUAAAAAGAGAACAUCUAGGAGUAUCAAAGCAAGUAUAUCUAGAGGCUACAAUAGAGGAAAAGAACCAUAAAACUAAAAUCCACUAGAUGAAAACAUAAAGUAGUACAAUAGGAAUCCCAAGUACGAAAACUAAGCAAAAUACAUAGGUGGUCUCUAUACAUGAAACAAAAUCUCUCUCUUGCAAUACGACAAAUGAAAGAGAAAGCCACCUAAAAGCAAGCGUCCUCUCCGCUAGCUAUCUACGCGACACCCUUGCCGCGAUCCCUUACCUCCGCCGGUGCCGAAGGCUCUGAAAAGAAACCAUAGAAGUAGGGCAUGAGAACUAUUAAAAAUAGUUUCCAGUGGGCAAUUACUGACUUCAGUGCAAUGCACCACUAGGCCCAAAAGCUACAAAAGAUGGGUCAAUAGAUAGUAAACGAAAACGAUAAGUAAAUAAAUAUACAAGCUUGCUACCACAUUUUUUUACGAUUGGUAUAGCAUCCAACACAUGAGCCGGAUCAUGGAUGUACUUCCGAAGGACCAAUACAUGAAAAAUAUUGUGUACACCCGAUAGGUUCGGUGGUAGAGCAAGUCGAUACGCUACCGGGCCCACACGCUCCAAAAUCUCAUACGGUCCAAUGAAUCAGGGGCUGAACUUACCCCGGAUACCAAAUAUUCCAAUUCUCUUGGUCGGCGAGACUUUCAAAAAGACAUGAUCUCCAAUCUAAAACUCCAAAUCUCGUCGACGCUUGUCAGCAUAACUCUUUUGUCUACUCUGGGCUGUCAACAGUCGCUCCCGAGCAAUACGAAUCUUGUCCUCUACUUCCUGGAGCACAUCGGGGCCUAAAGCCAAUCUCUCGCCAAUUUCGCUCUAAUGAAGUGGCGAUCUACACUUUCGUCCAUAAAGUGCCUCGAAGUGUGCCAUCUUGAUGCUUGCUUGAUAACUAUUGUUAUAAGCAAACUCUGCCAUCGGUAGAUGCUGCGACCAUCCUCCCUGGAAAUCGAUCACAAAGACUCGAAGCAUAUCCUCAAGAGUCUGUAUAGUGCGCUCGGACUGCCCGUCACUCUGAGGGUGAAAAGCUGUAUUGAAAUCCAAGCGUGUGCCCAAGACAUUUUGUAAGCUCCUCCAAAAAUGAGACACAAAACGGGGGUCUCGAUCCGAAACUAUAGAAGUAGGUACCCCGUGCAAUCGCACAAUCUCAUCAAGAUAUACCUGUGCGAGUCUCUCACCAGUCCAAGUAGUGUGAAUAUGUAUGAAAUGAGCCGAUUUCGUCAACCUAUCCACGAUCACCCAAAUAGCAUAAUGCCUGGCCUGUGAGCGAGGCAAUCCCAUCACGAAGUCCAUGUUGAUCUUCUCCCACUUCCACACUGGAAUCGGUAAGUUCUGCAAUUUUUUCGGGGGGACUCGAUGCUCAGCUUUCACCUGUUGGCAAGUUAGACAUCUAGCAACAAACUCACCAACGUCCUUUUCAUCCCGGGCCACCAAUAUAGCAACUUUAAGUCCUUGUACAUCUUGGUGCCUCCCGGAUGGAUCGCAUAGGGUGCACGGUGUGCUUCUUGAAGAAUGUCCUCUUUAAUACCCAAAUCCGCCGGUACACACAACCGCCUGCGGAAACGCAUCAAUCCAACACCGUCCACAGAGAAGUCACCAGUGCAACCAUCAACCAUCUUAGCUCUAAGCCUUUGCAACUCCACAUCGUGAGCUUACUUUUCCUUAAUUCUAUUCAAAAGGGUGGGUUGCACCACCAAAGCUAUCAACCUCAAAGGUGUAUCAGGAGCCACCACCUUCAACUCCAACCGCUUCAUCUGCUAGAUCAAGUGCGGUUGAGUAACCAUAAGCAUCGCUAAGUUUUCCAUCGAUUUCCGACUUAGCGCAUCCGCCACCACGUUAGCCUUGCUCGGGUGGUAAAGGAUCGUCAAAUCAUAAUGCUUGAGGAGCUCCAACCAUCUGCGCUGCCUCAAGUUCAACUCUUUCUGAGUGAAUAAAUACUUUAAACUCUUGUGAUCCGUAUACACCUCACACCGCUCACCAUACAGAUAAUGGCGCCAUAGCUUCAAUACAAAGACUACGUGUAAUAUACCAAAACUUCGAAAAAUAAAUAUCGAACUUUAGUCAAAUUGACCAAAGUGCGAGGAUGGUACACUUCGGAAAGCCCGAAGGUGUUAAAAUGAUCAAAAGUGAGUUACGGGAGGUUUUCGAGAGCUAAAGAAUCAAAUUCUGCAAAACUGCAGAUUUUGAGCUCUCGGGGACCGGUCCCUGGUGGGAGAGACCGGUCCCCGAACGCGUAUGAAAUGAGACAGCCGAAAAAUCGGCUAAGUCCCGGAAGAUUAGCUCUCGGGAACCGGUCUCUGCCUGAGAGACCGGUCCCCCAGAGACCGGUCCCAUCGUAGGGAGACCGGUCGCAUCGCGCGCAGCGACUCUGGCUGCGCAGGGUGGACGUUCGGGAACCGGUCCCUGCUCGGGGAGACCGGUCUCUGCCUGCGCGAUCAGCCCAGUUCGGGCAGCGUAUUAAAGUGAAAGUUGAGGGGUUUAGCUGCAAUUUUGCAACCCAAUAGGCUAAGUAUGAGGGCAAAUGAGAUAUUUCUCUCAUUUCCUCACCCUCUCACACUCUCUUCUCUCCCUCUCUCUCUCUAGAAGACAAAAGAGAAGAAGAAGAAAGGAAGAAGAAAAGGAAAAGAAGAGGAAGAAAGUGAAGAAGAAGAAGAAGAAGUGAAGAAACUCCUUCUCCUUCAUCUCUAGCUUGAAGAAAAGGAAAGCUUGAGGUAAGCUUUGAACCCUAAUGUAGUAAAACCCUAGAAAUGGGUUUGAAUGAACCUAGAAAUGAUUUUUAAUGGAAUGUCUAAUAGUUUUGAAGCUUUCUUUUGCUUCUUUAGAGAUCAAAACCUAGUUUUGCUAUAUAGGUGAGCUUGGACCACCUCUAAUGGUGAAAUCCAAACUAGGGAUUUGGAAAGGCUAAGAAUGGUUCUAAUGGACUAUUUAGAGUGUAAUGAAGCUACUUUUGCUUCUCUUUGAGAUCAAACCCUAGGUUAGAUACAUGUGUUGGAGCUAGGGCACCAAAUUGGGGCUUUUGCUCAUGAGGGUUUCUAAGUGCAAUUGACCCUCUAGAAACCUAAUUGGGGGUAUUUCCGACGCGUUGGUGCGUUCGGAUUAACGUUACGAAAAGCCGAUGAAAAGUUAUGGGCAAAAUGGCCUAAGUUGGCUUCGUUUUGCCGCAGGUAAAGAACGAAGGAUCUAAAAAUCCCGAGAAAAUCGUCGAAGCACCUAAAGAGACCUACAAGGUGGGUGGUGCUUUUCAAACUCAUUGAAAUUCUCUCUAUGCCUAAUGUGUCAUUCUUUGAGCAUAUGUUCUAUAUAUUGUUGCAUGCAUUUUAGGGUAAAGUAAUGAUGAAAUGUGAUGAUUGCAUGAUUGUGAGCACAACUUGCAUAAUGAGAUGGUUGAGAACCUAAUAAUAUCAAAACCCUAGAUGUAUGCAUGAGAGAAAAUGUGAGUACCCAAAGUGAGCAAAAGAACAAAGUGGCACAAUGACAUAGAUCGAGUGGCAUUUGAAAAUGUAAAGUAAAGAGACACUAGAGAUAGUGUGAGGUAAAGAACCAAUGUAAUGUAAAGAAUGCUGAAAAUGAUAAUGCUUAAAGUUAACGCAAUGUGGGAAGUAAAGAACGUGAAAUGCUAGAGGUAGCCAAAAGUAAAGAAUGUAAAGAAUAUAAUUGCUAGAGUUAGCAAAAGUAAAGAACAAUGUAAAGAAUGUGAUUGCAUGAGUUUGCAACAUAAAGUGAUGUAAAGAACACUAGAGCUAGUGUAAAGUCAAGAUUGAACUUAUAAAUCCUUUGAGUUAAGGAUAUGAUCAUGCUUGCUAUGAGUUCCGUGCUCGAGGGCGGUCGCUCCCCCUCGGGCGAUGCGCUCCGGAGUUAUGCAUCCGGGUUGGAGUAGACCCGUAAGGACGGUCCUAGCUGGUGAGUUCCUGCGAUGAUGGACUUAAUGUGAAGCAAGUCGAUGUGGCGAAGCCCCCGGGUUAGCCUUAAUGAUUAAAGAACAAAGAACAAAGAGUAAAGAAUAAAGAACAAAGCACAAAGUAAAGUCAAAGAAUGAAAGAAUUUGCAUAAUCUGCAUUUAUUUAAUGUUGAGCAUACUUCUUGCUUAUUGUUCAGGCAUAUUAGCAUCAUGUUAUAGAUUGGUUACUAUACAGCUUAUUCUUUCUACUAUGCCUGAGUUAGUCCUAGUGGGAAAGUCGGUGAUGUUGAGGCCGAACCCACUGGGAACUUUGUUGUAGUUCUCACCCCACUAUUUCCACAGAGCCGGGACCGAGCGAGCCGGCGAGCGACCGAGGUAAAGGUAUCGCGCCUUAGUCAGAGGCCACCACAGUUGUGUUCAUUUUGUAGUAAAGUACCCUAUGUUCAUCUUUUGUAUAUGAUGAUUAGUGAUGCAAAGAAAAGAAUGUAAUGUGCAUUUUGAGGUAAAUGUGAUGUAAGAAAGAAAUGAUGUAAUGAAUGUAAGAAUUCGAUAAAUUACUAGAAUGCAAUGUAUGUGAUCUAAAAU
rnacentral:lncRNA from 1 species